AACAAAACAGUCAUGGAAAUGAAGCCUGAUAAGGCUGGCACCGAUACGAAUAUCGGACAAGAAAGCUUUCUGAAGCACCCCCCGAAUUAUGUUGGUUACAUUAGGGCAUGUGGAAGAAUAAAAAAAGGGAGACAGUUGAUCAGCUUGAGAUGGUGAUGAUCCCUUAAGAACAAUAGCAACUACAAGAGCAGCUGCAAGAAGAUAGCGCAGAGUGGCCAUUUGAAGAGAUCAAUGAUAGUGAGAGCUAUCCAUAACUCUCUUGCAUGACUAUUUAUAAUCUGAAGCAAACAGGAUUAGAACUUGCCAACAACCAAGAAGUUUCACAUUGUAUAUUGUAAAAGUCAACUGUUUUAAAAUAAAGUAUAGUAGCUUAUUGUGGGUGUUUUUAUACUUAUAUUUUAAUAUAGAAAUAAAUUGUUUUUGGUAACUUUCAAAAUAAGUUGGGUAACUAAUUUUAAAAUAAUUAUGUUUUAAAUAAAAAUAGUAAUGUAUUUGAUAGUUUGUUUGAAAGAAUUUAGUAAAAUUAAAGAUUUGUGAGGCCCAUCUAUUUUUUAAAAUUAAUAGUUGAGUUUUAAACGUGAACUUAUUUGGUGGCUGCAAAUUAUGAACCCAUUUUUGAUUUCGGUGAAAAAGAAAAUGUAAAAUGCAAAACAGAAAACGUAAAAUGGUUUGAUGAAAUAAUUACGUGAUUAAUUUUUUCCCAAAGAUUUAGUGAAAGCAUAUUUUUCUCCACAUAUUUUUGAAGUCGUACCGAUCCUCCCUGCUGUUUUAUUUAUUUAUUUAUAGUAUUUACAGAAACGAAACCAAAACUCUCCUCAGUCCUCACCCACAUGAGUGGUUGAAUCUAAGCCACUUAAAGUUAAUAAUUCAUGAAAUGGUGCCUUUGUUUGGUGGCGACCGUGGCCGGGGCCUUGGCCUCUGAUUAAUAUUAUUUCUUUUAGCGUGUGGAUUCCACAAAUCGAAACCCUUCGGAAUUUUAAUUAUUAUUUACUGAAAUAUCAUUUUGCCUAUGACUUCUAUAUAUUAUGCCUAUAGCUAGUGAUUGUUACGUAAUUCAUAUUAAAAAUUAAUUUCAGAGUUGUAACUAUUUUAAUUAACUGAUGUAAGGUAAAUUCCUUAACAGACAAAUUCAUCUUUGUUCUCUUAGAUUAUAAAAGAUAAAAGGCACGUAAUUAAGUUUAAGAGAAAACUGAUUUAAAUGUCAAGGAUGAAACGAAAAAAUAAUAAGAGACUCGAAUGAUAAAAAGAAUUUCUAAGAGAACGAAAGUAUCAUUCGACAAAUAAAUUUAGAUUCAUAGACUUUUCUGUCCGAUCUAAUAUUAAUUCUUAGCGGUGAGCCUACGGCAGAAGCCACAUGUAUACAUAAUUUUUAUUGGUUAAAACGUGACAUUGAUGAUGUUGAAAAAAAAACAAAUGAUAAACAAAAUUACGCGUAGAAAGCAGGAUGUGAACACACAAACACAAGUUUAAUUAAUCUAUUUGAAAAUACAUAACAUCUUUCAGAUAAGACCAUUAGAUUAAACUCAAGUUUGAUCGUUAAUUUAUUUGAAAGUACAUAACAUGUUUCAGGCAAAACGAUAAGAUUAAAUUUGAGUUUGAUAAGCACAAAAACUCUCGCGCCUAUGCUGCAAGCUAGCUUAUUUAGAAAGAGCUGACCAAAUCACCCUCUGAUGAUGAUCUUGUUGCAAUAUUACUGUUUCCAUUGACCCUCCUGCAGUUCAAUCUAAUCUCCCCUUGAUUUCCUGUCAGUGGUUUCAAAUUGCCCAUUCUUAUCAUUGAGGUCACAAAGUUUUUAAAGAAAGCAGUCUGGUUCCUCCCAAAGUCCUGGACAAUGGCAGCGGUAUCGGCACCAGGAGUCGAAAACAACUCUUGAUCACUCUGCAGAAGGCCUUUGCGGCCUCUAAGAUUGGAGAAGUAUUUGUUGUCGAAAACAUCAGGUGUCGUGACAUCAAAAUUAGCAAGAACGCCGCCGUUUCCACCUUGUGGGCAUAGUUUCCUCAGUUGUUGUAAGAAGGUUGCGUCUAGGGUUGGGUCUGGCUUGCCAGUAUUGUUAAAAUCGUAUAAUCUGCCCCUGAAAAAUUGGCACUGAGCCCUUCCGAACGUGUGAGCUCCUGAAAAAACAUGCAUGACCAAAUCUUUGUUAUUUUUACUGAAUUCACAUACGAGGAACAAUAAUGAUAAUUUUAUUGUUAGGGAUAUUAUUUAAAUAUUGAGUUAAGUAAAUAUAAAUUUAAGGCACCAACACUCAUUUCUUGAAUUAACUUUUGAGUAUGAGUUACUAUUAGCAGGCAGUUUUGACUCCUAAAAGUUUACUCUCAUAACUUUACUCAAGUAACUAAAAGGAUGUAGAAGCAAUUAAUAAUUACCGGAGAGUGCAACAAGAUCAAACUUGUCAUUGAGGCCAACAUUUCUAAAACUAGAUUUGAGCACAUCAAGAGUAUCAAAUGGUCCUGGAAGAUUCUGAUUUGCAAGAGCUCUGUUUGCCGUUCUGCUGUCCCUUCUUCCCAAUGGAACUGCCCAUGACGGACCCCCUGACUGUAACCAAAAGCCAUUCACUCAAAAUCAGCAAUAAUCUUAAGAGAUGUGCGUUUGGGGCGGACUAUUUAAUUUGCUAGCCGUUGAAUCAAACUUUGUCGUAUAACAAAAGAAGAAAAUUUUAAGUUUAAAACUAAGGCCUUGCUACGAUGCACCAGCGCAGUAAAAAGUGUCUCACUAUCAGUAACAAUUUAUCCGUUAAUAAUCACUAUAUUGACAUAUGUGUAGCAAUUUUGGUACCAUACAGUGUAGCUGAUGCACUAUAGUCAAUGGGAGAAAUUUGUGGUGUAAUUGUGGUACCGUAUCAGUUAUAUUCAGUCGUUGGAUACUAAUAGACCUCAUCAAUUUAAAUACAUUUAACGACUGAAUAUAAUUAUAACACGGUACCACAAUAUCAUACCACAGUUGCACCAUAGUCUGAUCAUGUCUGAUCAUAGUCCAUGAGCCACCACUUUUAAAUAAUGGAGUCCACCACGUCGUCCGAAUUUAAAAAUGAUGGGUCCAACAAUGAAUCCCUUCACUUAAAUCAAUUUCCACAUGGUGGGGCAGUUUUGUCGUUGAAUAGCAGCGCAAUAACUAGCAAAGGCUAAACAUGUGGACUCAGAUCUUGCACAUUGUUCUAUGUGAAUAAUUAUUUAAUUAAUGUAUUCUUCUAAGGAUAAAGUUGAACUCACGGGUUAUUUAAUUAACUGAAAAAAAUAAUAUAAAAACACGUUAAAUUUAUAUGGGUUAUUAUUAAUUGAAAAAAUAGUUAAAAAUUACAUUAAUACUGCAAAGAUUUACCAUUAUUCUAUUCGCUUAUUCUGAUACCCAUAUUAAUUUACUUCUAAGCGUAAAAUAUUAACCAGGAAGAGGAGUUGGUAAUAGAAAUUCAUACCAAAGCAACGGAUCGUUCAGCCGCAAUAGUAAGAAUAUCAGCGCAGGAAACAACCCUUGGACAUGCCUUUUCAACGGCAGCUUUCAUGUUAUCAAUAACUUCAAAACCCCUCGCCGAAUUAUUAUUUGGCGCAGCAAAUUUCUCGCUGUCUAUGGUGUUAGUGCUGUCCAGCAAAAUCGAUGCAUCACACCCCUGAAAAAAUAAUAUUAAUUAACAACUUGCUAUGUUAACAGUCCAUUGUAUUGUUACUUUAACAAGUAGAUAGAUUCCUUCUUAUCUUAUGGACAGGAAUUCAAAAAAACUAUAUAAAUAAUGCAAACUCUUCUUAUUUAAAUUGUCUUAUUAUUACAUAAGUUUUUAAGACUAGGAUUUCCUGUUGAUUUAAAUUUUUCGGUUGGAAGAAUAUAAAACAAGUGUGAUUUAUUUUCAACCAUACACCAUUAAUAUUGGACCCAUGAUCAUUAAAAGCACUGAGCAGGGAUGAGGCCAUGAGAUGGAUUUUAAUUCCUGUUUUGGACCAAAUCUUUGCUAGAUUUAAAUUUCUAGUGCAUGAUGAAAACCCCAUAUUAAAAUUUAUUUAUAUAAAAAAAAAUUAAAUGGUCUUCGGUACAUCUAAAUUAGAGAGGAAAAUUUUGUUGUACGGCUGAAGCGAAAAAAUCAGAUCUUUUAGCUUGGGGUUGGGGGUGAGGAUCUCUACGUGCAUGAAUAUGCGGUCAGAAGAGAAUGCAAUGAGUAGCAGACAGAUAAAAGAGAGAAGAAAAAAAGGUAUAUAAAAAUGGUUUUGGAUGUUGUUGAACUUAAAAUGAUAUAUUCAAACUCUUCCUUAGGCUUUAUGAAAACUCUAUAUUUUGUUUAAUGCCAUAAAAAAUUAUAAAGAUACUGUUCAUUGUCAUACUUGAAACUAUGUUAUAUCAGUAAGUACAUAGACAGAGAGCUUGAUAAAGUAAAGAAGAUGAAAAAUGAGCGAGCAGAGAUUGCUUCACAUCAACAAAACAGUCAUGGAAAUGAAGCCUGAUGAGGCUGGCACCGAUCCGGAUAUCGGACGAGAAAGCUUUCUUAAGCACAUCCUCGAUAGUGUUCAAUACAUUAGGGCAUGUGGAAGAAUAAAAAGAGGGAGAAAGUUGAGCUUGAGAUGGUGAUCCCUCAAGCACAAAAGCAACAAGAAGAGCUGCUGCAAGAAGAUAACGAAGUGAAGCCAUUUUGUCUAAGAGUUACUAGAGAAAGGCCUCUUUAUUUAUAACCAAACAAACCAGAUUAGUAUUAGAACUUUGCAGCAACCUCGAAGUUCCUCGUUUCACUGUUUGAAUAGGUUAGUUUCGUUAUUAAUUCUCUUAAUUAGGUUUAUGUGAUUUAUUUCUUUUUGAAACUACCGUGGCCCAUGUGACCAUCUAAGUAAACUAUAUGGACGUAGAUUUUUUUUUUAUUAGUAAAAUAAAAUUACUAGUUAAUUUUCUUUUUUAAAUUUCAUUCAAUUUUUUCUUUCAUGUUUAAAAGCUUAAGUCUUCAAUUAGAUUCUUCGAUUUUAAUAUUUUUUUCAAAUACAAUAUACUAAUUAUGGUGCAUUUGAAAUUACAUGUCUUAUUUUCAUAAUGAUCUUGAAAUUUACAAAUAACCUUCGUUUUUGUGGAGAGAAUAUAAGAAAGAGGAAUAUUUGUUUGUAAAAUUUUAUUUAAAAAAAAGUAUAAAUGAACGUAUUAGAAAUGCAUGUAUAUCAAACUUAUUUGAGAAUAAAAACUUAUUAAAAUGAAAUCCAAAAUCCUGAGUAAUUAUUCAUGAAAAGAGGGACUAAGUUGAUAAUUCUUGAAAUGGUGCCUUUAUUAGGUAGGGGCGGCGACGCCUUGAGUCGCUUUUGUUUAAUGCCAGCUUACCUGCUUCGUUUAUCGUAUGUGUGAAUGCGGAGCAUGUGGCGUGUGGAUUCCACGUAUUCGAAAUCCUUCAUUUCAACCUUUUGGAACUUUUCAUUUGUUUACCGACAUAUCAAAUAUCAUUUUGUCAGCUUACACAUAGGUAGAUGCGAGAUUGAGACUCAGUAACGUUUAAGUCAUAGUUAUUAUAGGGAAUAAAAUAAAUUAUUAAAUAAAAAUCAAUAAUAUAAUAUUUAAAUAAUAGUUUUGCUAGAAGUAGUAAAUAUAUUAGAAAAUUUUCAUCGUGAGUUUAGAUCAUCUUAGUUUUUAAAGUACAGAAAUAAGCGGUGGUUCUCUCACGCGGACACCCGCAGCUUAAAAAAUAUGCGGACACUCACGUUUUGAAUUUGACCGUUGGAUGCCAUCAACGGCUGAAUUAAGUUGUGACGUAAAGACAACUACUGACAUUUUCAGCCACUUUGGCCGGGUGGUCAGGGCUGUUGCCCUCUAACGUGGAGGGCAACAGUAAGAACCCCCACGAACGAACAUAUUGUGAGAAUAUUUUUUUUCUCAAUUAAAAUUGAGUGAAGAUAAUUUUUUUUUUUUAUCUGAGAGUGAGGAGUAUACAUCAUUCAAAUAUUUAUAAGGGUUAAAAUCUGGACAGAACUUUAUUAAUAUUGAUAUAAAUUAAUUUCAGUAAUAAUCUAUUUUAUAAAUAUAAUGUAAUAUAAUUUAUAAUUUAACGAAUAAUAUCAUGUAAUAAAAAAAACUACUGACAUUUUCUGCCUGUGGGCCCGGUCUUCAAAACUUUGAAAAAAAAAAACCAUUUCUUUCUUUUAUUCAAUGGCACCACGUGAGUAUAAAAACACAAGGACAAUAAUUUCUAUCCUUUUUUUCCCCAAAACUAACUUGUUGAUUUUUAUUUUUCAAUUUUCAAAGAUCAAUAUACAGUCAUCAUCACCACCAUUUUUGCUUCUCCAUCUUUCCGUCAUCAAAAUUAUCCUUCCGAUCAAAGAAGAUGAAGCAAAGAAGAAAAACACACUUCGGUAAGUCACCUAAAAAAAAAAAAAACUUAACGACCCAUCUAAAUAAUCAAGCUGAAAGGUAUCUCUAACAGAAGGUUUUCUAAAAAAAAAAAACAAAAAAACAAAAAUUGAGGAAAUUGAAGAAGGAAAAACACAGGCCAGGACAUUCUUAAUUAAGAAACUUGAAAGUUCAUGAAAGAAGAGCAAGGCAUUUAAGCCACAGGUAAGAAAUAUUAGAAGAUUAACAUGUUGGACACGUCAUCUCCGGCCACAUUGCCGUUGAUGAUGAAGAUGAUCCAACGAUUUGGCUUCCUGGGUGUGGGAAGAUGGAGUUGGGAGAAGAGAGAGAAAUUUAAAACUAGUAUAUUGUGUUUUUCUAUUCACAUGGUCCCCAUUAAAUAAAAGAAAUACUUUUUUUUUCCAAAGUUUUGAAGACGGGCCCACACAGAGAAAAUGGCAGCAGUUGUUGCCUUCACAAUUUAAUUCAGCCGUGGAUGGGAUCCAACGGCCAAAACGUGAGUACCCACAUAUUUUUUAAGUCGGAGGUGUCCGCGUGAGAGAACGACUGUAGAAAUAAGUAUUUAUGAAAUAAUUUAGUAUUAUAUUUUAAAAGGUACAGCGGUCUUACUUUAAUUUCAAACGAGGUCUUGAUUAAUUGAAACCACAAGUAGGAGUUAAAUAAUUAAGAAACGACAGGAUGACUUUUUGAAAUAGGUAAAAAAUGAUUUUGUUAAUGAUCAUGAAAAAGGUAACUGUGGCUACUGGCUACUAAUGUUUUCUUUUCUGGGGAAAAAGGAUCAUAAUAAUUGCGAAAUGGUUUAGUGAAAUAGUACGGAGAUUCUAUUGGUUUUAGAAUUUAUAUAGGCUCUUUUUUGGUACACACAGACCCCAAAAAUUGUCAAAUAGAUUUUUAAAAUUUGUCCAAAAAUAAGUUUUGUUAUCCCAUAAGAAAAGUGUGUAUUGAGUAUUUCUGAAAAUAAAAGAUUCUUCCCUACUAUUUUGUCAAACUACGGAUGUUUGACAAAAAGUACAAAGAAAUUUGUAAGAAUAAGGUGUUUUUCCGGUUAGUAUUUUAAAGCUAGAGGAUAAAAUGGACCACUAAAAACUGAAAAAUGACUCAAAUGACAAUGUGUAUCGAUGACAUAGGAAAAAAAAAUACACAUGACAAGGAUUUCUUUUUUUUUUUUUGAAUACUGAUUAAACAUCAGAUUACUGCAUUACACAGAUAUUUACAACAACUGCUAUUAUAGCAGAUAUAUUACACUGAUAAUUACAAUCAAAUAUACAUAAUUGGGACUUACAUUAUUACAUUGAAUUCUCUGAAGUAUAUGCCCAGACAAAUAACCCCUCACAGAGGAAGGAUGUCCAUACUCCACUCGCAUUUCGCAAGGGAGAAUGAUUUUUACAUAUUAAGAACAUUUAGCCCCCACAAUGCUUUUGUGGGGGCUAGAACCGCUGCCCUCACAAGCCUUGUGAGGGCAGCAACCCACCACUUCGGCCAAGGCCGAAGUGGCAUGACAAGGAUUUCUGAUACAUAGAAAGCAAGGAUGUGAAUACACAAACACAACCUUAGUUUAUUGAAAAUAAAAAGCAUGUUUCAGGCAAAACAUAGGAGUAAAUUCACGAGUUUGUAACCCACAAACUAGCUUAUUUAGAAAGAGCUGAUCAAAUCACCCUCUGACGAUGAUCUGGUUUCUAUAUUACUGUUUCCAUUGACCCUCCUGCAGUUCAAUCUAAUCUCCCCUUGAUUGCCUGUCAAUGGUCUCAAAUUCCCCAUUCUUAUCAUUGAAAUCACAAAGCUUUGAAAGAAAGCAGCCUGGUUGCUACUAAAGACAUUGACAAUGGCAGCGGUAUCGGCACCGGGAGUCGAAAACAAUUCUUGAUCACUCUGCAGAAGGCCCUUGCGGAUUUGAAGAUUGAAGAAGUAUUUGUUGUCAAACAAAUCAGGUGUUGUGACAUCCAGAUUAGUUAGAACGCUGCCGUUUCCACCUUGUGGGCAGAGUUGCCUAAGUUGUUGUAAGAGGGUUGUGUUAAGUGUUGGGUCUGGAUUGCCAGUGUUGCUGAAAUUGAAUAAUCUAUCGCUAAAAGUUCGGCACUGAGCCCUUCCAAAUGUGUGAGCUCCUGAAAAACAUGCAUAGCCAAUCUUUGUUAUUUUUACUCAAAUUCAUACAAAUUAAGGAUAAUAACUGAGUUUCAUUAUGGUGGUUCUCACUUUUCUUUUUGGGAAGCAAUUCAAAUUUCAUGAUGUGAUUAAGGGGAGUAAAUUUGUCAAACGUUUUAACAUAUUCCUAAUCACCAAUGUCAAACUUUAAAACACAGUUUCUUCGUAUCAUUAGGAUAUUCAGACAAGCCUCCUAGGUGCUGUAGAGUAUGAAUGUGCUUUGUGUCGGUGGUCGUCUUAGUAAGAGUAAUAAUGAGAAAAAAAAAUUGAUAUUUAGUGGAUGAGAUUUCUCAUCCUUUUCAAAAUUUAUUUUUUCUUUUUAAAUAAGAUAUUCAACAUUUAAACUAUCUCUAAGAUUUCAAGACUCAGUAUUGGCAUUAAAAAAUUUUCCACCUCCAGAUUUCUAAUUCUGGCUCCAAUACUGCUUUAUCCCAAAAGACUCCAAGGUCUGUUUGUACUCAAGUCAAAGGGCGUGAAAGCAAAUAUUACCGGAGAGUGCAACAAGAUCAAAAUUAUCGUUGAGGCCAACAUUUCUGAAUCUAUCUUUGAGCCUCGUAAGAUUAUUGUUCGGUCCUGGAAGAUUUUCAUUUGCAAGAGUCCUGUUUGCUGUUCUGCUGUCUCUUCUUCCCAAUAGAUUUGUCCAUGAAGGACCCCCUGACUGUUACCAAAACCACGAUCAUUAGUCAAAAGCAUCACUUGAGAGAUGCAUAAUAAGCAAAUUUAACUAAAAUCAGAAAUUGGUCUUGUUGCACCCAAAAUUAGCACUUUCCCGGCGUUACAAUUUUGAGUGAACGGUUCAACCAGACUGUAUCAUAUAAAGAAGAUAUUUUUUUUUUUAAUUUUCAAAAUAUAUACUGGAACCCAACACGUAAAACUGAUGUGUCCUCGAUGAAUCUCAUCACUUUUUUUUCCGGGGGAGGGGGGGAAGGAGAAGCCUUCCCUUUUCAUACGGUAAAGUUUGUUCAGGCACUAUCACGAAGUCAACAUGGUAAUGUCGGUGGACUGUGGAUUCAUCUAGUUAAAGUACUCAGGGUCUGAAAAUUCCAACACGAAUGUAAAGUCAAACUUACUCUCUGAUACCUUAGAAAUUUAAUCACUUUUAAGCUUAAAAUAUGUAGUCGAGCAAGAUGAUGAGUUGUUAAUAGAAAUUCACAUAUACCAGAGCAACAGAUUCUUCAGCUGCAAUAGUAAGAAUAUCAGCACAGGAAACAACGCGUGGACAGGCCCUUUCAACGGCAGCUUUCAUGUCAUCAACAACUUCAAAACCCCUCGCCGAAUUAUUAUUUGGCCCAGCAAAUUUCUCGCUUUCUAUGGUAGUAGUAUUGUCCAGCAAAAUCGAUGCAUCACAGCCCUGAAAUAACAUCAAAAGCUUGUUGUGAUCAACGUCUGUUGUAUCGUUAAUUUAAUAAUUAGGUAGAUUCUUCUUAUCUUACGAUUAAGAAAAAUAAUGCAAACUUGUGCAUUUUCUUUUUGGACAAAUUUUCUUAUUGUAUAAUAAGUUUUUAAGACCAGGAUUUCCUCGUGAUGUAACCUUUUUCUGAGCUUAAUUGUGAUUGUUAGAAGUUAAGGAUAUAAGUGUACGUAGUUAUAUUUCAAUCAUAAAUUACUAAUAAUAGACAUGUUACACAAGAUUUUUUAAAAUACUAUGCAAUACUCAGAUUAAGGGAGGACCUUAAUUAAUAUUUUAAAAUAUUAAUUGAAAAAGAAGAAAAACUAAAGAGUAGAGAUUGAUUACAUUAACAAAACAGUCAUGGAAAUGAAGCCUGAUGAGGCUGGCACCGAUGCGAAUAUCGGACAAGAAAGCAUUCUUAAGCACCUCCCGAAUUAUGUUGGUUACAUUAGGGCAUGUGGAAGAAUAAAAAAAGGGAGAAAGUUGAGCUUGAGCUGGUGACGAUCCCUCAAGCACAAAUGCAACUACAAGAGCAGCUGCAAGAAGAUAACGAAGAGAAGCCAUUUUGCAAUGAUGAGAAUGAGAGUUAUAUCUGAGCCUUCUAUAUACGCGCCUCUUUAUUUAUAGCCAACCAAGCUAAACAGGAGUAGAACUUGGCAACGACUAAGAAGUUUCACAUUAUAUUGUAAAAGUCUACUGUUUGAAAACAAAGGCUUAACUUAUAUGAUGAGAUAAUUACAUUAUCGAUUUUCUCCCUAAAGUUUGGUGAAAGCAUAUUUUUCUCCACAUACUUUUGAGGUGGUAAUGAUAAUUUAUUAUUUGCAUCUCAGUAUUCUAGAAGUAUGUCAAGUGUAGCUCGGUUGAUUGUGAAUGCAUUUUGUGUCUGUGAUCACCCAAGUUCUAAUAAUAAUAUGGGGCAAAGGUGGUUGUUUAGUGGAUGGGAUUUCUUGUCCCCAUAAGAGCUUUUUCUUUCUUUUUUCUUAUUAAACAAAAGAAAAGGCCAUACAACAUGGAUAUUAAAAAGGGACAAAACUCUGGUGUAACUGUUGUACGGUGUCACUAGUUUGUCUCUUUAUCUUUUGAUCCCUACUUUAUUUUUUUAUUUAUAAGUUAUUUAUAAAUUUAUCAUAAUUUUAUUUUUUCUCUUUUUCUCUUUUCCUCUAUUUAUAUUAAGAUAUUCUGUACAUUUUUUCUCCACUUAGAUAAUUAAUCAAUCAUUAGUCAGCAACUCCUUUCAAAUUAAAGUAUUAUCAACUAGCCGACUACCUCAAUUAUUUUUCACAUCACAACUAAGACAAAAUGGAAAAUUUUAAUUUGAAUAUUCGAAUGACAAUUGUGAGGUCAUGGCAAUUGAAUAAAUUAAAAUAAUAAAUCAAAUCUAUCAGUUAUAAGUGAUUGAUGUCAUAUUGAUUUAUAUCUAUAAAUAAAGUUUGAGUUUUAUUAUUUUUGAAUAACUAAUAACUUUCAAAUUAAAUUUUAUUGUAGUUAUUUUUUUAUUUAAAGUCUAGUAUGCAUAUAAUUUAAAGUGGUGAUCAAAGUGUAAGGAAAGAAAAUAAUACAUUUUUUUUAUAAUUAUUUAUUUAAUAUUUUAUUUUAAUAAUGUCAUGUUAGUUUUAUUUUUAAGCUAAUUUAUUAAUUGAAUUUUAAUGUGAAGUCAUUACUUAUCUCAUUCCUUUAAAAAAAAAUAGAAUUAGAUAUUGAUGUUUAGUUUUAUGUCUGACUUUUUUAACUUGAGACAACUUACCCAUUUUUUAAUUGUUUAAAUUAUUCACAAAAAAAAAAUCUGUGAGGAUAUUUCCACUGCGCUUUUUAUGUAACAACACCCUAUCUUUUUAUAUUUUUAUAAGGGUAAUUUUUAAAAACCUCCCCUGAGGUUUGGGCUUGUUGCAAGUAAAUGGCGAGAAUUUAUUUAUUUGUAAAAAAUCCCCUACCGUCAGUUAACUUUAACAUUGACUGUUAGUUGACUGUGCAAAGACAAUAUUACCCUUAACAACAGUUUGUAGACGGAAAUAACUAAAAAAAAUUAAAAUUGUUGGCGCGAAAAGCACAAACCCUAUUUUUUGACAAUUUUAUCCUUGUCAAUUCCAAAGAUUUACAAUAUCAUAGGUAAAGAUUAUAACUAUUUCAUUUUUAAGUUUUUAAUUUUAUCUUUUUUGUAGGAACUUUAAGAAAAUAUUAAUAAUUUAAAGAGGAUUUUUCAAAUUUUUAAUUUUAUCUUUCUUGUAGGAACUUUAAGAAAAUAUCAAUAAUUUAAAGAGGGUAAAAUAGCCAACAAUUAGGAUGAAUAUUCAAUUUCAAUUUUAAAAUUUUGUUUAUAUACUGCUGAGCUGGUUUCGUAACUGAUGAAAAAUUUGUUUUAUUAGGCAAGAAAAGUUUAAGAUUUUACAGUUAAAAUUUAUUUAUUUAUUAUUACUAGUAUUUUCUGUUAUGUAUGUACAUGUUCUCCCCAGAAUGCAUUUUGAUUCAGAAACUACUGUCUGUGCAAUUAGAUGCUGCAAUGUAUGUCAUUUAUAUAUGGACAUGUCCCUCUUUUAAUUAAAAUGAUUCAUGGCAUGGCAAUAUUGGCAGAGUCGUUUAUGCAUGUCCAUUUUGAUGCCAUUGAAACUUUAUUGAGCUACAAAGCAAGAAGUGUUUUUUGGCCAAACUUUGUGCAAAAAAAAAAAAAAAAACGCAAUUGGCCCCUAUUGUAAUUUUCUGGUGACUAAGGGUGAGAAAUUAAAGAAGAAUAGUUCCCCCUUUCUAAUAUCCAAAAUUUCAUUUGUUUGUAAAAAAAAAAAUAAUAAUAAUAAAUAAAUCAGCUUAAAUUCUGAUCGACUUAAUGAGGGUUGAAGAAUUCAACUUUUUUUUUUUUUUUUUUUUGAUGAUAUGAGACUAUUGCUCAAAUUACAACUCAUAUUAUAUGAGAGUAUAACUGAUACGUACAAUCAUAUAUAUAUACUGAGACCUAUUGACAUUAAUGCUGAUAUGACACUGCUCAGAUUUUUGUAACCCUCUCAAAUAUUCGAGGGACGUCAAACUCCCAUCCUAGGAGAAAGACUGUCUUCACUCGAGCUCUGUGGCUCCAAGAAAGGAAAUAUAAAUUAAACCCCUACAAUACGACUGCAGAGAUUCGAACUCUUUGAGAGUGACUCUAGCCACUUGAACUAGCCCAAGUGGUUUGAAGAAGAAGAAGAAUUCAACUUUGAUAAAUGAUAACGUUGGAUUUAGUCCAUGCCAUCGCCAUGCCAAUGUGGACUGUACGAGGCGUGUGGAUUCCACAUACUCGAAAGUCGAAACCUUUCAUUUCAAGCUUGUAGACUUUUAUCCUUUGGACUCGACUAGCUUACAGAAUCUGUAAGGUACAGACUGCAGCAUCAGCCGUUGGAUGUGGUUGGAUGUGGAGUGAGAAACUGAACAAUAGAAAAUCGGAUGGUGGGAUGACGGGAGAUGUUUGUUACAGAAUCUGUACCAUAGACAGGUCCUUAUCCUUUUUUCUUUAUAUUGAAUUAUCAUUUUUGUCAGUUUAUACAUAAAUAAUUGAUUGAGACACACGGACAGGACCUUGCUACGUUACAGACUGUGUAUGUAACGUAGCAAAUGGGGAGCAUCCGCACAUUGCACGAGAGAGGAAAAAUUGCGAAAAAUUAGCUGAUACAAGGCCAGUUUGCACUGAACUGUUACAUACAGAGUAUGUAACGUAGCUUUGUCCACACCGACAAUACACAAGUAGAGUCAAAUAAUUAAUUACGUGACGGAUGACAUUUUGAAAAUGAUAUGUUUUUGCUUUUUUUUUUUUUUUUGAGAAUGGUAUGCUGUUAAUUUUUUUCGUAGUUGUUUUCACAAAUGAAAAUUGAUGUUUAUUUGUGAUUUCAAAUCUCGCCUCUGAUAAAGUAUUUUAAAAAUUGUAAUCUAAAUAAAUAAAUACCAAACUGGCUUUUGAUUCCCGGACCUUUUAUUUUAAGUUAAGAGAAUUACUAAUUGAACUGAUUUGAACGCACAAUCUAAAGAAUUUUUCAAUAAAGAAAUAUGUUUAAUAUAGUAUUUGAAGAAAGAAAAUGUUAUGCAACAAGUACAAAAUCGUAAAAGCAACAUUAAUUUGUGCUGCUUAGGCUUUCAACUUUUCUUCAAAAAAAGUAAAAAAUAAAAAGUAAAAAGUAAAAACACCAUUCUGUCACUUUACAUAAAUCCUUCCACAACUCACCGAAUUUUAUUCUGGCCUUAUUCUAUCUUUCCUUUUUUAUUUUCCUAUUUAAAUGGAAAAUGGUUUUUAGUUUGGUGAUGAGGACAAUAUCUAAUAUCUGCCAAAAAUAGAAAAAUUAUCCCAAAACUACUUUGAAAGAACUUUGGGAUAAUUAAUUAUAUGUAAUUGAUCAAUUUUCACAUCUUAAAUUUUAAAACUCAUAAAAAGCCAAACUCAUAUAUAAGUGAGUUUAGACUAUCUUUUUAUGUGAUAAGAACUAAAAGAAAAUGUUUGACUUACACGUGACAAGGAGUGAUGGAGAUCGGAGCAUAUUUCACGACUUAUCUGUAGCUAAUAAAACUAUAGCGUUUUUCAUGCUCUUGUACGUGGAGACUCAUUAAUAUUUUGAAUUCACUUGUAUGAACAAAUCUGAAUUAUCUUUACCUUUCCAUAAUGAAUACUCCUAAUUAAAACAAAAGCGAAAAAGAAAAGAACAUAAAAAUUGUAUUUUCUUACUAAAACUUCAAAAAUUUCUUGGAAAUAGUUAAAAUGAUCAAAUACAUUUGAGGCAUCAAACAACAAACUUCGACCAUAAUCGGAUUGAUUUUGCAAUUAAACACAACGGAUUUUGUUUCUAUAUAUCACCGAAAGUUCAAAGACUUAACAUAUUAUAUGAGUAUUGUAACUCAAAGUUCAAAGUUUAAUUUUUCCUUUUGUUUCGAAACUCUCACCUCCUGCUCUUAUUAUUAUUAUUAUUAUUCAGCCUUCUGGUACGCAACUAAGACCAAAAAUGUCUGUGACUCUGUGGUAUCAUUAUUUGCAGUUUAAUUAUAUUUAAAAUAAGACGAUUGAAUGACGCGUGUUCAUGAAGUGUAUAUAAUAUAAUAUGAAUAUGAUUACGACAUUAACUGAAAUUUAAGGAACUGAUAAGUACAUAAUCUGUUUAAAUAAUAUUGUAUGAAAGAUUUCCGAUUAUAAUUUAAAAUAUAUGUUUCUUUCAAUCUUUUUCUAUAAUUCAUUGUUCAUAUGACCCUACGUCAAGAAAAUAAAAUAUAGAAUAUCUAAUAUCUCUAUCGAUAGGCAAACAAUUUCAAGAUUUUCUGGUUAACUUGUUAUACAAAGUGUUGAGAUGUGAGUAAAUUAGGGUAAAAAUUUAUUUAGUUUCUAUAUUUUAAGAUUAGUAUUCAUUUAGUCCCUAUAUUUUUAAAAAUGUCUUGAAACAUCCUUGUCGUUAAAGUAUUGAUACCCCUACUGUUACUUUUUAUUUCUUUUGGCUUACUUUUAUAAUAUUACCCUUUUAUAAUAAUUUUUUUGUUUGGACAUUAAUAAAAAAAUAAUUAAAUUACUAAUUUAACCUUAAAAAAUUAUAUUAAUUUUUAAUUAUAAAAAAUUAUAUGCAAACUACCAAGUGUGCAAAUGGUGCUUGCAAAAAAAUUAAUAUAAUUUUUUAGAUUACAAUUAUUGUGUUAAUAUUCCUAAAUAAUCUUAAAACUAAAAGUUUGUCGAAUGACAAGAUCUUAGUUAGAUGUUUAUUUGUCAAUAAAUUAGUUAACCUAUUUUGUAAUCUGAUGACUAAGCUGUAUAUCUUUUGCUCACUCAAAUACAGGCAAAUCUUCAAUGCUUGGAAACUCUUAUUAAUAAAGAAAUGCAAAUAGCUCUUUUCAAAUUAAAUAAAGACCAAUUAUCCAACAAUGCUUACUAUUUUCUUAAGUACCGUGAUUGUGCUAAUAAAGUUAUGUGGGGAGAAAGAUAUCUAUAUGCCUAUCUGGAUGCAUGCGCCUGGUUGGACAGUAAGAAAAUGAUCGAAAUUAAAUGCCAAAGAAGUAGAUGAUGCAAAUAAAGAGGAUUUAUUGUUGAUAAUUGUAUGAGUUGACUAGCCCGUUUUACACGUGGAAAGUGGCUUCGAUUGGUGCAUGCAUGAGAUUUGUUUGAUUUUCCUGAUUUUAGAUGGUGAUUUCAAUCAUUCAGUUUGAAUUUAAAAUUUCAAUAAGUUAGAAAUAACGAUGCGCCACGGUAUAUGCGUGGAAUAUAUCUCCCUUUGGCCCUUUACUCUUUCAUGAUUUCAAUUAAUCAAUCUUGUAAUUUAUUUAUAUCUUAAUGUGAAGCAAGUGUACAAGGUACAUAUAUUUUAAGAAUUUUAAAAAGGUACGUGACAAACAUAUUUUUAAAAUUUAUUUUUGAUAAUAAAUUUCAUCCUUAAUGCAAUUCUACCUAAUUAGUUUUGUCUGAUUUACUUUUAAAUUCCAACAAGAACAUCUAAUUACCUACUUCAAGUGAAAAGUGCGUUGAGUGAAUUUCAACAUAAAUAAGGAUGGUUUGAAUAAUUUUUAAAAAUUCAUAAGCUAAUUACAUAAUUAGCCGAAACCUAAAAGACUAAAAGAGUGGUUACCCAAAAAAGCUAAUUAUCUAUUGCACUAAACUAAAAGCUCUUAGCACUUUCCAAUCGUCAACGUUCUCCGAAUUUGCCAGUCCACGAUUUAUGCAUUCUCAUUAAUUUCAAUCUUUGCUAAUGAACGUGAGAAACCAACUUGGUUCAUUUUAGUAUUCCAUUAUUUUAAUUAAAUUUGAUUAAAAAGAGAUGAUGGUGACAAGUACCAAGAAAGAUUUGCAUGAUAAUGAAGAUUUGGUGAUUGAAAUUCUUUGUAAAAUCUCUUUGGCGAUUCAAGUUUGUUUGUAAAUCUUAGUAUUGUUUAAUAUACAGGAAAUCUAAGUUUCAUUACAAAGCACCUAAAAAAGGUCAAAACCCGCUAAUUUGUCAUUUAGAUAGUUGAGAAUGGAGAUUCAUAUGAUUAUCCUAGAAAUUUUUUUUUUUUUUUUUAUGUUUCCUGAAGAUACAUUAAUAGAUUUAUCACUGCAAUAUCUUGAUGAGCAUCUCUCCAGACUUGUUACUGGAGUCCAUCUUCUGUAUUAGUAUAUUUGGAGCUUAGUGUUGCGGACUGCCUAAAUUUUCAGCCCAAGUGCCCAAGAAUUCGGGAUAAGAGCCCAAACAUAUGCCAAGAGUGCUAGUUUGGCCCGAUUGUAGAAUUUUCCAGCAAACUCUAGCACAUCUCAAGCUUGUACGUAUUUAAAAUUCUCUACACUUUUCUAACACUUGUAAAUAUCUAGAUAUUUUAACAAGUUGGUAAAAUUCUCUAGAACUCUAGAGCUUGGCAAGCCUCCCUAUAAAUAGGGCAUGAUAUUUGGCAUUUAAGCAUCAAGCUAAGAGCAAGCAACUCAAGCACUCUUCUAAACUCUCUUGUAAACACUUUGCGAGUAAUACAAUUUUAUGCUUUCGGCUCAAUUGCUCUCUUCUUUCUAGCUUUUUUGAAAACCUCCAAGUUUAGCUAGUCGAGAAGCUCAAAUGCUUAUUUAACAACUUUCGACAAGAGUUGUCUAAGUGUUGCACGGGUUCAUUGUGCAAAACACUUAUCCGUGACGUUAAGAUCACUUAACGGAAUCUCACAACUAUAGAUUACUGAAUUCUCCCAUGUUAUAGAGCUACAUGUCCACUGAAAAUGAACAUGUACUGCACUUAUUUUAGAUUUGAUUGAAUCCCAAACGUAAUGACCAAAAGUUGAUUUCGAUUAACUCAUUUCGCUAUAAAAGCACAAAUGAUAUGGACUUGCAUUUGCAUGAAUUCUCGCUUUGUACAAUAUAUAAAACCUAAGUACUAACUCUUGGAGGGAAUUAACAUGCUUCGAAUAAAAUCAUUUUGAUAUCUUUUUUAAUUUACUGUGCAAAAGCUUGGAUGGACUUUGUUACUGUUUAUCGAAUUUGAGUGAUAAUAGUAACUACGUACCUAAUGAUUAUUUCAUUUAACAUGGCAAUGAGUUGUUCCAAGAGAUUUAAUGCCCAUUCAGUAUUGCUGGAUCACCUUUUGUGAUGAUCAAUAUCCCUUUUUACUACUUUAAAAGCCAUCAAUGAUCAAGAUGUUGAAAUAUGGGAGGAAAGAGAGGAUUUGGAACAAACUAUUAUCCAUUAAUCUCAACGGAAACAUGAUAUUAUAUGAACCACACUUGGACUUAGAAAGAAUGAUUUUUUUUUUUUUUUUUUGUUGGUAAAAUCAGGCUCUCCAAGUGAACAACUGCUGUUGUAUUAUCCUGAUAAGUGGUACCUAAGAAUUGAGAGAUCUUGGACUAAUAAGUGUUUUUCUUUUUCGAUUUAUAAAUUUAAAGAGAGUCUAAUUUUUGUCAAGGGAGAAGAUCCAUGUGUUAAGAAUUAAGUGUUGAUUCAUCAUUGCUGAGCUGUCAUAGUAUCGUUGCUGAAUAACCAUGUUGGAAGGUCGUUAUGCAUACUAUUGAGAGUUGUUAGUUUCCUUCCAAAAGUUUGUUAUGUAUAGUUGGAUGUGAGCACACGAGUUUGUUGCUUUCAGAAGAUUCUACACUCAACUAUAUAAACAAUAUUGUAAUCUCAAAUUACAAUAUGUAGAAUGAAUAUUUUUUUAUUUCUAAUUUCUCUCAAUUAAUAAAUUUUCUCUUUAUUUUCUAUGUAAACAAACAGAAUUCUCAAAAAAUAUUUCACUUUAACUUGGUAUCGGAGCUCAAUCUAAUGGCCUUAACAAGUUCCAAUCAACAACCUAAUGGCACUACCAUAACCUCUUUCACCUUUACAAAUCCAAUCAAGCUUGAUUGCAAGAGCUACACAACUUGGAAACAACAAGUACUCUCUUCAAUUCGUGGUAAUGGUCUCGAAGGCUACAUCAAUGGAUCAAGGCUCUGACCUGGUCAAUUUCUUCCAUCAGGAUAUGGAUAUGAAGGUUCUUAUUCAAAUAUUGAAGGUCAAGAAAUCCAGAAUAUACAGCAUGGAAAUGUCAAGAUCAACUCUUACUUAGCUGGAUCAUGUCAUCUAUGAGUGUUGAUAUCCUCAAUGUUGUGGUCAUUUCUAAGAUUUCCUUUAAGUUGUGGAAAAUCUUGAAAAACAAUUUGGAUCUAAAUCCAUAGCCAAAAAAAGUUCAUUUAAAAAUGCUUCUAAGCAAUCUGCAAAAAAGAUCCUUAACAAUGUCAGAAUAUUUCACAAAGCUUAAAACAAUUACUGAUGGCCCAGCCUGCCUUGUGAGUGAUUAGGAUCUGAUUACUCAUCUCAUUUUUUAUUUAGAUCGGUCAUGUUAUCUUGUGGUUGUUUACAUUGAGGCAAACAUGUUAACUAUGGAUCUUAGUGAAGCAUAUACUAUGCUUCUCACACAUGAGGUUAGACUUGACAAUAGUAAGCUUCAUGACAACAAAGAAAUUAAGAAUAACUAUGCAGCCAAUAUAGCUCAAGUUGGAAAUUUUUCAAAGAAAGGUAAUAAUAAUGCUCAAAAUAACUGGAACAAGGCUGAGGGAAAUAAUUGGAACACUAAUUCUGGUGGAAGAGGUGGCUUUGAUGGUAAUGGAAGAGGAGGUUACCAGGGACCAAAUCGAGGAAAAUGAAAUUAGAAUAAUAACUUCAGAGGAUUUGCUGGUGGAUUUAACAAUGGAUUUCCUGGUGACUUCAAUAACAACUAUGGCAGAGGUGGAUUUAACUCAAGAGGUUCUGAAAAGGUUUUGUUUAAGGAGGUGUUGCUUGUCAAAUUUGCUUAAGGUUUAACCACACAGCAGCUGAGUGUAGAGACAUGUUCAACAAGAAUUUUGUCCCAAAUUUUCCUGCUCCAAGUCAUUUUUUCAAUCAAAAUCAAGGAUCAAGGGUAGCUUUUAUGACUACAUCUGAAUGAGUUACUAAUCAAGGAUGGUAUCUAAAUAGUGGAACAACUCACCACUUAACUAAUACAGUUCAGAAUUUGAAUGAUGGUAAGAUCUUUUUUAGCUCAAAUUUACUAAUUAUUGGUAAUGGUCAAGGUCUUCAAAUUACUCACAUAGGUUAUACAUGUCUCUAUACUUUUUUUUGGUACUUGUUUACAUCUGCAUAAUGUCCUGUAAACCUCCAAAAUUACCAAGAACCUCAUUAAUGUUUUCCAAACUUCUCAUGAUAAUGAUAUUACCAUUGAAUUUUUCUCUGAUGUUUAUUUCCUAAAAGACAAUGUGAAUGACACUCUGUUGGCUCAGGGGAUUGCUAAAGAUGGUCUGUACAAGCUACUGUCAUAAGAGAAACUUAUCUCUUCUUCUUCUAUGCAAGUGUUUUAACCUAGUUCUAUAAUGUCAAUUUUCUCUUUCAAUGAUGAUGUCACUUCUGUUCAAGCCUUUAAUAGUGACUUAUAUUUCUGUUUAGAGUCCAAAUCUCCCAUAAGUUUUCACACUUAGGUUAUGUGUUAGCAAAUAUAUUGCAUAAUAGGCUUGGUCAUCCAAGCAAACAUGUUAUAUAAACUAUUUUAAAGAAUAAUUAUUUGCUGUUUGCUCAUGUUGAUAAAUCAAUCCUUUAGUUUUGUGAUGUUUGUCAGCUUGAAAAAUUACAUCAAUUACAUUUUUUAGUUACUAAAAUCAAAACAAAAUGUCUUUUAGAAUUGAUUCACACAGACUUACAUGGACUAGCCAUGUUCUGUCCAUGGAUGGUUAUAGAUAUUAUAUCUCUUUUGUUGAUGAUUUCACUAGGUAUUGUUGGAUUUUUCCUUUAGUUUUUAAGUCUGAUGCUCUUACUACAUUCAAACACUUUAAAUGCUUGAUUGGAAAACAAUUCAAUCUUUCUAUUAAAGCUUUACAAUUUGAUAUGAGAGGUGAAUUUAAAAUUUUUGCAGUCUUUUCUUCAACCAAAAGACAUCUAAGCUAGAUUUAGUUGUCCUCACACACAUUACCAAAAUGGUGUUGUUGAGAAAAAGUAUAGACACAUAGUUGAAACUAGUUUAACCCUUCUUACCCAAGCUAAAAUGCAUGUUUCUUUCUGAUGGGAGGCUUUUCAAACAACCUCUUAUCUCAUUAAUAAAAUGCCAACCUCUAUUCUCAAUAAUUUAUCUCCUUAUCGAAAACUUCAUUACCAAUCACCAAAUUAUCAGCUUCUUAGAGUGUUUGACUGUGCUUGUUACCAUUUUCUUAGACUUUACAAUCAAUACAAGCUUGAUUUUUACUCCAAAAAAUGUUUGUUCUUAUGUUACAGCCCUCUUUAUAGGGGCUAUAAAUGUCUAGUCAAAUCUGGCAAAGUUUAUAUUUGCAGCUCAUAUCAUUUUUAAUGAGUUUGAUUUUCCAUAUUUUGAAUUAUUUUCAUCCUCAUCAUCUUCUUCUGAGUCCUUCCUAAUUUACUCUCCAUUAAUUUUCAUUUUCAAUGAUAGUGGCUUCAAUCAUUCGUCAAUUAUACCUCAUACCUCAGUAGUGUUACCAUCAUCCUUCUUUCCACCUUUACCUCAACAAGUUCUAUAUUUUCCUUCUUAAACCUCUAAUUCCUCAUCCCUUCAUUAUGUAUCCAAUUCACCUGUAUCACAACCACCCUCUCAACUAGUAAUCCCAACUUAUCUAAUAAUUACUUGAGCCAAAUCUAGCAUUUUCAAGCCAAAAACCUAUUUUACAACUACACAGACCUUGAGCCAGUGAGUGUUAAAAUUGCUUUAGCUGACAAGAAGUGGCAUAUGGCUAUGCAAGAUAAGUAUAAUGCUUUGUAGAGAAAUGGUACUUGGACAUUGGUUUCAGUUGAGAUAGCCAACAAACUUGUUGGAAAUAAGUGGAUUUUUCGAGUUAAAUACAACCCAGAUGAUGGCAUUUCAAAGUAUAAAGCUCGACUAGUUGUAAAAGGGCUUCAUCAAACUUUUGGAGUAGAUUUCUUUGAGACAUUCAGUCCUGUUGUAAAACCUUGCAUUGUUCCAGUUGUUCUCAACUUAGCAGUCAUGAAUUAUUGGUCUAUAGCAAUUAGAUGUCGACAAUGCUUUUCUCAAUGGCUUACAUAUUGAAUAUGUGCUCAUGCUUCAGCUAGAAGGCUUUAUUAAUCCUCAAUUUCCCAAUUAUAUCUGCAAGUUGAAUAAAGCCUUAUGACCUUAAACAAGCCCCUAGGGCUUGGUAUGACAUAUUAAAAGGAUCUCUAAUUUAGUAAGGAUUCAGGUCUUCCAAGUCAGAUACUUCAUUAUUUUUCAAGCAUAUUAGAUGUGAUAUUUUAAUCAUUCUUGUCUAUGUGGAUGAUAUUCUAAUAACAGGUUCAAGCAAUGCUCAAAUAACAUGGGUUAUUAAUUAGGUUAGAUAAGAAUUUGCUCUCAAAGACUUGGGGAAUUUCAAUUAUUUUCUUGGAUUGGAAGUGACUCCAUCUAUUGAUGGCUUACAUAUAUCUCAAACUAAGUUUGUUGGUGAUAUCUUAAGGAAAGCUCACAUACUUGACAGUAAAUGUUGUAACACACCUAUAUGUGUUGCUGAUAAAUUGCAAAAAAAUAAAGGUUGUUUGUUUAAAAAUCAUUCAUUGUACAAAAGCAUUGAUGAUUCUCUACAAUAUUUAACACUGAUCAGUCCAGAUAUUGCAUUUACAGUCAAUAAGUUAAGCCAAUUUUUGGCUGCUCCAACUACUUUAUACUGGCAGGCCUAUAAAAGAGUGUUGAGAUAUAUGCGAAGUAUAGCACAUUUUGGACUUCAGUUCUUCAACUCAGGUUCUCUAACCUUGACAGCCUAUUUUGAUGCAGAUUGGGGGUCUGAUCUAAAUGGCAGAAGAUCUAUUGGAGGAUAUUGUGUUUAUCUUGGAACUAAUCUUAUGUCAUGAUCAUCUAAGAAACAAAAUAUUGUCUCUAGAUCAACUGUUGAAUCCGAAUAUAGAGCUUUAACAUUAGCCACAUCUAAAAUUUUAUGGAUCAAUUAUCUAUUGAAGGAACUCAAAGUAUCACCCAACAAGCCUCAUGUUCUUCAUUGUGAUAAUAAAAGUGCAGAAGCUUUAGAAAACAAUCCUAAAUAUCAUUCUAGAACUAAACAUAUAGAAUUGGAUCUUUAUUUUGUUAGGGAACACGUUGCCAAUAAGGAAUUGGUCAUUGAACAUGUAUCCAGAUCUGAUCAAUUAGCUGAUGUGCUUACAAAGCCUCUUAGUUUUGAUCAUUUUGCUUAUAUGAGAACUAAGCUCAAUGUCUGUUCAAGACCUUGAGCUUACAAGGGUAUGUUAAGAAUUAAGUGCCGAUUCAUCAGAGCUGAGCUGUCAUUAUAUCAUUGCUAAAUAUCCAUGCACAUUGGAAGGUCAUUAUGCAUAUUGUUAAGAGCUAUAGUUUCCCUCUAAAAGUUUGUUAUGUAUAAGUGGAUCUGAGCACAUGAGUUUGUUGCUUUCAGAAGAUUCUACACACAACCAUAUGAACAACAUUAUAAUCUCAAAUUACAUUAUGUAGAAUGAAUAUUUUUUGGUUUCUAAUUUCUCUCAAUCAAUAAAUUUUCACUUUGUUUUCUAUGUAAACAAACAGAAUUAUCAGAACAUAAUCAAAUAGACAGAUGAGGAUUUUGACCUGAUAUGAGAAAAGUUAUAUCCGCUCUCCAGUGAUUAUAGGGGUGCUUUGCUCUUCAUGAUGUCAAGAUUUCAAAGAAAUGAAUCAAAUAAUAACCUAUUUGGCAUCGUUAAUCCUUGACUUGUAUCAAAUUUUUGUGAAUUUCAAUUUAUCAAUAGUUGUUUUGAAAGUUGAUCGAACACAUCCGUUGUUUAAAUUUGUAUUGACGAACGUGAAGGCGAUAGCUGCGCUUAAUUAACACUAUUUCUUUGCCUUUCUUUUUAAUGUUACCCAUUGUGCAGCUGAAAACUCUUUUCAAGUCGGUUUGCCAAAUGGAAUAAGCUACCCGAAAGCCGAAUACAAGAAGGCAAUAAAAGUUUAUAAUAUUAACCCGAACUAAUGUGACGAUUUUUUGUAGAAGUCGCAUCAAGUCAAACAUACUUUAACAUAUAUUAAUAACAUAUUAACUUGAUGUCACAGAUUCAGGGUUCCUUACAUUGCUAAAUUAAAAAUGGUUAUAAGGAUCUUUUAGAAGUAGUAAUUACAUGCGUGGAUGCCCAAACGAAGUAAGAAAUUUCAAUCCAUGGCAGCAAUACAAAAUUGAUGGGAAGAGAUGAAAAUGUGAACCAUCAACUUAUUCGACCCAAUUAAGGGACUGUCUCCUCUGAUGAAGUAAAAAAUAAUCCGAUUUUGGUGCCAUUAAGAAUAUUGUAUAACUAGUUUUAGGAGUGGCAAUUUGGGUUAGGAUUCGUUUACUCGAUUUGAUUCGAUGCAAAUUAAAUGAGUUUGGAUUUGAAAAAAUUGUUUCGUUUAAUAAAUAGGUGAAUUCGAUUCAAUUAAUUAAUUAAAUGGAUCUAAUCUGGGUUUUAGAACAUUGAUUCAUUUAUUCGUUAAGGAUUCGUUUAGUAAAUGAGUUAUAAACGAAUCGAAUAUAAUCCAUUCGUUUAAAUUCAUUUAAUUAAAUUAUUUAUUUAUACUUAGUAUGAAAAAACCUUAAAGUGAAGGCUAAUAUAAUAAUUAUAAAUGAUAAUAAGUUUGUAUUUUGUAGGAUCUUAAAUUUAUGCUCUUUUUAUAUUUUAUUUUGUUUAAUUUUUGUUUAUUAAUUAUAUUUUUGUAAAUAAAUUCAUAUUCAAUUUAUUCCUUAUCGGAUAAACAAAUUGUAAAGGAAUCCAGAUUCGAUUUGAUUCGUUUAUUAAUUCUACUAAAUGAAUUAAACGAAUCGAAUCGAAUCGAAUAUUUGUUUAAUAAAUGACACUACAACAAAUAUGACUUUUGGUAGCAUUUGAUAGUAGCACUUUUUUCAUAAUGUUACGAAAUGUCAAUCUAUUGUAGCAUUUUUAGAAGAAAGUUACAAUAAGUUGUUCAAAUUGUAACAUUUAAUUUUUUGUAACAUUUUAUCUUUAAUUAGUAGCAUAUUUCAAAAUGCUAUGUAUGCUUAUAAAUAAUAUAGCACUUUAAAAAUGCUACCAAAUGUUGUUAUUUAUAGUAGCACUUAAAUAUAGCUACAAAAUGAGGAGAAAUAAAAAUGAAACACUACGUACCGCCAAAAUGAAAAAAUAAGCGGCAACCAAAUAUUUUGAUCUUCAAAAUAUGCAACAUUGGGAGGGAAAGAAAACAAAGCCCCUUCUUUAUUUCCUUGUCUCCUUACUGAAAUUUUUAGGCAUAAGCAUUCAGAUCUUUAUUUGAAGAACACACAUUGAAAAAUCAUAGCUUAAUAUUCAUCUAGAAUCUCAAUUCUUAAUUCCUUUCUCUUCAAAGUCUCUAUCUUUUUCAUUUCAUUGGCUUAUCUUAUUUUAUGGUUUUUUGAGAGGUUUCAGAUUAUGGAGUUGAAUAACCAUGGAUUCAUAUUUACGUUAAUCACCAUCAAAGGUGUGGGCUCCUUUUUCCAACCAUUAUGAGAUUCUCUAUCACUUUUUUUUUUUCCCUCCAAAAUGUAACUCUUCCAUGUCUCUUGUUCUUGGUUUAUGAUGCAUUUGGAGAUUACCUCAUUACAACCAAAUGAAAACGGCUUGGAGAAGUACUGGAUGAACUACGCCAUCAUCGUCGUCCUCCAUUGUGAUGAUAAGGAGCAUUUGGAGAAGUACUGGAUGCAAAAUGAAGAUAAAAAAAAUAUUUUUUAUUUUUGUUUGGUGUGUAAUCUUUUUGAAAAAUUAUGAAUUACAUGUAUAUGCUUUAGCAUCUUUUUUUUUUUAAAUUUGUAAUCUGAUUAUGAAGUUUAUUUUUUGUUAUUUUGUAUUUAUUUUUUUGUUUAUCAAUGGAAUUGGUUAAAUGUUUUAGUAAUUCAAUUAUAUUAAUUUAUUUGGGUAUUCUUACUAAUAAAAUUAAAAAUUUAUCAAUUCCAAAUAUUGUAGAUUUUAUUUAAUGUUAACAACAUUUGUUACAAAUACUAAAAUAUUACAUAUUCUCAAUGCAGUAGAAGUAGCAUUUCCAAGUGCUGCAAAAGAUUAUAACAGUAACACUUUCGUCAUGAUUUAAAUGUCAUUAAGUAGCAAUUUUUAAAUGUUAUUGAUGUUAAAAUGGUAGCAUUUAUCUAAAGCAAUCACAUAUGAUUGUGUAGCUUUGUUUCAGUGCUAUGUUUUCAAAUUUGUAGCAUCCGAUAAAUGCUACUAACUUGUAAGAUUUUUAGUAACAUGGGCUAACAUAGCAUUGCUUAAAAUGCUACCAUUCGCUUUUUGUAGCAUUUUUUGAGUGCUACCAUAUCUCAAUUUUGUUGUAGUGUGAAUUGAAUCCGAAUCCUAAGAUUUCUAUUUCUUUAAUGAACGAAUCAAAUUCGAAUAAACAAAAUUUUGACCCAAUUCGUUUACAAUUCGAUUUGAAUAUGACUCGUUUAUUCGUUUUGCCAACUCUAACUAGUUUAUUGUGUUUUUGAUUAAAUAUUACAUAAACUACACACUAUCAACGUUAUAUUGUACUUAUAGUUUUUUUAUUAUUUUACUUUAAGUGUACAACGUGUAAGUAAGCUAAUUUUCCCAGAUCUCUAUAUUGGGUUUUGAGUGUAAAAUGAUAAAAUGAUUUGACAUACAAAUACGGUUGGAAAAGUAUCAUAAUAAAUUACUAUUUUAAAGCAUAAUUUUGAGUGGACCUACUUUGUAUAAGUGAGAGGUAAUAAUAUGUUCUUUUAUACUUAAAAUGAUGCUUGGGUGAAUAACAAUGCACAAAUUACACCAUUAAUUGCAUUGAGUAAGAGUUGGAGUUACAAAAAAUUGUAGUAGCUAGUUAAAUUUAAAAUUAAUUACGAAAUUAAUUCCAGAAUAUAUCACUUGUAAUUGCCAAGUAAUUCAGAAUUUAUAAUAGGCAAUUAAAUUUAUAUUUUAAUAUGAGAUUAAAUCUCGAAUUUAAUAUGUGGUUAAUGAAGCCGCAUUUACAUUUUGAAUUUAAUUUAAGAAUAAAAUAAAAGGUUUAACGACAACAAUUAUACUUUUAAUUAGCUACUGUACCUAAUAAGAAAUUAAAUACAUCAGUUACAAAAUUUUAGCAGUCAAAUUUGUGGAUAAAAAUGCCUCUCAUACAAUUAUAUGAAUUGACAUUCUUCUUCACUUCAAGAAAAUGGCUAGGAAUAAUAUAAGAGAAAUAAGGAUAGAAGAAUAAGAAGACAAACUUCAAUACCUCCUUUGUCAAUGUCAUUAUCAUCAAUGUCAUUUAUCCAAUUUCCAUAAAGUUUAGAGACAAUGGAACUUUUUUGUACAAUAACCUCUUCGUGCGCUAGAAUUAUUCAUUACCAUUGUGUCUUGGAAAAUAGGCACUGUUCAAAACCUCAAGCACUUAAUAGCAGGAGGCGAAUUUAUUUUAAUGAAGCUAUAAUAUUAUGCAGGUAGGGAUGACAAAUUACGAGCUUGGGCUAGAUUUUUUUAAGCUCAUGCCUAAGUUCAUGUUAUUAGUAAUAGGUCCACAUUCUCUAAAAGUCCAUCCAACUUGGACAGUCUGAGGCUGGGCCGGACUUGAGCUUCCGUUAAAUUUUUAAAUAAAUUUUUAAUAAAGUCAAAAGUUAAAAACAAAAUAUUUAAAAUAAUAAUUAUCUAAUAUAUAAUAGAUAAAUAGUCAAAUACAUAAAAUAACACAAUAUAAUAAACCACAAAUAAUAUUUAUAAAUUAUAAAUUAUAUUUUUUUAAUUUAUAAAUUAUAAAACUCGAGCAUUUUCCAUAAACCAUUAAUUAAGUUCAUUCACAUCUGACUUUAAAUUUUUUUACCCAUGUCUAUGGUAUCACAAAGCAAGCAGGGCCUAAAGCCCAUGACCUUAAGCUGGGCCGACCCUAACUUUUUUACCCCACCCUACAUCGAGGUCUUGAUUUGCAUUCUAUUUUUAUAUCAUAUUUUAUUUGUUAUCUUAUUAUUGUAAUCACUAUUUUAAUUGCUAUAUCAUUGUUGUAACUGUAAUCAUUGUUAUUUGUAAAGUCUCAAUUUAUGAUUUGUAAUUUCAGAAUGCAUUCCUCCUAUUCCAUUGUAUUUCCCUUAUGAAUACUUGGACAAAGAUAGAAGCUAUUGGACCAAAAAAUUAACACCAAAUCCGAAUUUUGUUACUAAGAUAUAAAAAUUCUCAGUUUCCUAUAGUUACAAAACCACCAUAUAUAAGUAAGAAUUUCAAGUCCCUAAAUGUCAAAAUUUGGUAAAAAUGCGAGGAUCAUCAUUACCAAGUACGCUGUGAUUUUAUUUUCAUUAGUUUGCCGAAAGCUUUGAAACAAUUUUUCUUUUUGCCAAAAUAUGAAUCCGACGGCAUGAAACAAAGCACCCUUAUCAUAUUUUCUCAGAAGAGAAUCUUGGCUUGUUUGUUCGAUACAUCAUCUUCUUCCUUAAUUGAUAUUAGACUGAAUAGACUCUCUUCAAAUUUAUGAACUGACAAGUGAAAACUUCUUAGUCCAAUUCUCCAAGAUCUCUCAUUUUUCCCGGGGAUUAGGAUUGUAUAAGAGCAGUCGUGGAAUUGAAGAGUCGGGUUCUGAAAAAAUCCAAUUGGCAAAUAUUUGAUAUUAACGAAUAAAAGUUCGCCCCAAAUCCUCUCUUUCAUCACCUAUAUUUCAACAUUAUCAUUAAUGGUAUUAAAAAAUAAUAAAGAUAGAUUGUCAUCGUAUAUGUCAAGUGACACAGAAAGUAAAAAUAGGAGGAUAUUGAUAAAACAACAAUAUAAAAUAAACAAUGUUGAAUAAUUUAAAUGACAUUUGGAACAAAAAUCAUAAAUUUUUUUUUCAAGCUUCGGGCUUUGCGGUUUUGACUUGGUAUGGGCUUAAGUUCACCCAAAUUGCUAAUCUAAGGAUGCAAUUCCUUAUGAGCUGAUCAUUUACAUCCUUCCGAGAACUGUGAGAUAUUACAUAUCCUAAUUUCGUACAAAAAACAUUGGAUUAUGUGUUUCUAUUUAUAAGUGUGCAGGUUUUGUGUUUUCUGUGAUUUCUUGAAUUAAGACUGCAAUAAAAGAUUUUCCCAAUUUUACUUCUCAAUAUGUUCAUUAAUUGGAUCAAAUGAAAUCAUGCAUGAACUCUUAUGAUAACAUUUUUUGACCUACAUUUCUCAUUAUUGGUUUUGGCAGUCUCUUCUUUUAGCGAACACUGGCAACACAAAAAGAAAAUUAAAAAAGGGGGAAACUGUUAAAUUUGUAAUGGCCUAUUUGGUUAAUUUUAUGUAUUUACGUAACUUAUAUUAUAGUAGUUUCUAAAUUAACAAGCCUGUCUGGUUAUAUUCAAGAAAAUUGAUGUACUUAGAUAAUUAAUACUAUAUGUAAAGUUACUAAUAUAACCUUUUCCUGUGCGGCUCUGGUACGCGUUUCCUUUUCUUACUACAGUUUUAAUUUCAUUUAGGAAACUAGUUUCCUAUUCAAUUAGGGUAACCGUUAUUACAUAAAAAUCUAAUGGGAAUAGGAAACUAUUUCCUAAUUCAGUACGGCAAGUUAUUGUCACAUUAUAAAUACCCGUGCAGAAAAAAAAUUUGGUUCCAUAUAUCGCACUGAAAAAAAAAUGGAGCAAUACGAAAAGAUCAGAAACUUAUGAUAUUUUUAAGGAAGAUGAAUAAUCAUCCCAACAUUGUCAAGUUGAGGAAUCUUGUCAAAGAACACGAAGACGUAUUCAUUGUGUUCGAGUACAUGGAAUCUGAUCUUCUAAAACUUAUGAAAGAAAGUGCGGGUCAAAAUUUCUCUGAAGAUGAAGUCAGAAACUUGUGUUUCCAAGUGUUUCAAGGUCUCCAUUACAUGCACCGACAGGGUUAUUUUCACCGUGACCUAAAGCCUUCCAACUUGCUUGUUUCGAAAGGUGUGAUCAAGAUAGGGGAUCUUGGAAUGGUGAAGGAAAUUGAUUCCAGUCUGCCGUGCACUGAUUAUGUUACAACUCGCUGGUAUCGAGCUCCUGAAGUGUUGCUUUUAUCCGAGAUAUGUGGACCUGAAGUUGAUAGGUGGGCGAUGGGUGCUAUUAUGUUCUCGAUGUUGAGUUUCAGGAGUCUUUUUCCGGGAAAAAAUUCAGCUGAUCAAAUUUACAAAAUCUGCGGCAGAUGGGUGGCGUGAAUCUACGUGAGUUGUUACCAUCAGCUAGUCGAGAAUCCAUCAGCUUGAUUUCAUGGCUUUGUUCCUGGAAUCCACGCAUGAGGCCUACGGCUGCGGAAGCUUUGGAACAUCCUUUCUUCCGGAGCUGCCAUUUUGUUCCUCGAUCGGUGCCUCUUCUUUGCAAUAAUUUUGAAGCUGUUGCGUUUCCUACUGCCACAGUCACAAUGCAAGGACGUUCUUUGACAUAUUCUCAGGUACCGAAUGAUGGGCAAUUAUGUUUGUGCGUCAAAUGUGAGAUGCAAAGGACUAACCAUGAUCACAUGAUCAUCAACUCUGCCAAACCGGCAACCUCCGUGAUUUGUAAAACUGGUUACGCGACUAGAACUGAGAUGUUGGCUUCUCGCAUGCAAUCGUUGCAGCAGCUGAUGAUGUCGAGGCCUCCCGGAUUUUGAAGAAAACGUUAAGGCUGGUUAUUGUAUUUGUACUUAGAAACCUAACUACGUACGUACUGAUUGUACUGUCGAAGAUUAUUCAAUGCAUUGAUAUUCAUCUCCUCAGCUUCCCUAGUGUCUUUUAUGUUGAAUUCAAUGAGUGUAAGUCCAUGACCAUUUUUUUUUUUUAAGUUAUGGUCAAAUGUGAGAUGCAAAGGACUAAUAAUGAUGAUCAUAUGAUCAUCAACUCUUCCAAUCCAGCAACCUCCAUGAUGCAUAAAACUGUUUAUACAGCUACAACUAAGAUGUUGGCUUCUCGGAUGCAGCCAUUGCAGCAGCUGAUGUCGAGGCCUCCUGGAUUUUGAAGAAAAUGUGAUGGCCGAUUACUGUAUUUGUUAUAAAAAAACCUAGCUACGUACGUAGUAUCUCUGUUGUGGAUAUUUUAAUAGCUUCAUUCAUUCAAGUAAGCAAAAAUUAUUCAAUACUGUCAUUUUUUCGAAUAAUUUGAUACCACUGACCCUAGAAAGGACAUUAACGGGUAUUCAAUGCACUGUCAUCUUCUCAAAUUAGCUAUUGUACCUAUACAUUGAUUUCACCGAGUGUAAGUCCAUUUUUUUUUUUAAAUUGAAAAAAUAUUAUUUAGAAGAUAAAAGAGUGCAUGAGAGUGAUAAAAGUUACGACAAAUGAAAAUUAGGAACACCAAAAUUCUAGAAGAAGAGGCUUCUGAAUUGAAUGGGGAGGUAGAUUCCAUAGUGGAAAAAUGAUAACUAAGACUAUCGUUAGUUAAAGUAUCCACCACUUUGUUACCUUCACGAUAAAUAUGUGAUAAAUUAUUAUAUUAAGCGAAGCAAGUAAAGGCAAUUAAACCAACUAGUGUGGAGUUUCCAUGGAAGAGAGUAGCCAAAAUUCUGAAGACAUUGAGUCAUAGACAUGGCGUCACAUUCAAUCCGAAGUUUAUGCCAACCCCUUAACCAUGCUUGUCCAAUAGCAAGAAUAACUACCAUAAAUUCAGCAUAAAAAGAGGAUUCAUGACCAAUGAACGUAAAACUGCCAAGGAAGGUUCCAUGAUGAUCUCUAGAAAUUCCCUCACAAGCAGAUAACCGGGGAAUAUUAUUCUUACUGUUGACCUUUAUCAAAGUUGGAGGGGACGCCAUAUCACUGUAGCUAUUUUCGAAGCUUUUCCAAAGCUUGGAUCAUUACCCAACCGGGCAAAAAUUGCCAAAUCAUGAAAGUGUGCAAGAGUACUCCCUAGGCAAGAUUGACAAAGAGUAAAUAUUAAAUUUUUACAGUAAGCUAUGGCAUUAUGAAAAGGGAGAGUUACAUCUUGAAAUCAAAUAUAUUCAUUUUUCGUUUUUAAAUUAUAGCUUAAUGGCAACCCAGAUAGCUCCACGUGAGUGGAUUCAAACCCCAAAUCUAUUAUUUCAAAUCAAAAGAUUAAAGUUCACCAAUUGAUCAACUAUAUAUCUGGCGUCUAACUAUGACCAACCUCAAUUAACGGACGUCCGUCAACUAGAUUAAUUCUCAAAAACCUGCUACUUUCUAGUCUGUGGAAGAAACAAAGUUCUCAAAGAAGAUAACUUCACAAUACAUACAACUCCUUGCUAACUCAAAUUUAAGCCAACGCCAUGUUUGAUGAAAAUUUAUGGUUGCGGGUUGUGAUUCCAUUUAUGCCAUAAGAAAAUCAAAAGGGUAUGUUUCGAAUUAUGAUUGCAAAAUUCCAAUCAAAAGGGAAAAGUUUUGGCAUGGACCAAAAGUUUUUUUCCAUUCAUUUCUUAUCACAUUUAUAUUUCAACUAACUAUAAUAAUAUAUAUACACUUAAUAAAUAAUAAAUAAAUAAAAUGUAAUAUUUAAAUAUAUUUUGGAUAGACCACUCGGUCUUUGGCCGAGUGAUGGAUUACUUACUCUCACAUUUGUAAACAUUUGUGAGAGCACCAGUUUGAGAUCUUAAGGGCUCUCCCUUAAUUAAGUAUGAUUGAUUGGAGUCAAUUGUAACUUUCUCCUUUGUAAAUUUUAAGUGAAGUGGACAACCCUCGAAUAAUUGUGAAGGUAGACAAUUUGGUGGAGCGGACAACCCUCAGAUAUAUGUGAAGAUAGACAAUCUGAACAAGUAUUUUAUAAAAUUUAAUGUACGUAAAGUUAUAGUUUCACUAUGUAAUUAUAAUAUCUGAUUGUAUUAUUAGUAUUUAAAAAAAAAAACUCUUCUGGAUAGAUAUUAAACCUUUCAAAACCUUUACGUACCAAAUAAAGAGUAAACUAAUUUGAGCUCUUGUCCGGUAGCUCCAAAUAUUUUUCAUGCUUGAAACAAUGUUGAGUUGGAAUAUGUUUUUGAUUACCGAAGCUUAAUCACUUUGAACAUUACAGCUGAAGAGCAUAGAGGAUUUGUCAUAAUUGAAUAAUUUUCCAGAGGUUGUAGUGUAGCAAUUAAAAAUUCUUUUCAAAUUUUGACAAUCUGUAGCUGAUGCCCUAGUGAAUACAAGACUGUCAUCCACAAAAAGAAGGUGGGAGAUUUUAAUGUCAUUGCCAAAUGACAGCCCAUGAAUGAGCUUCUAUUGUUCAGCCCACACCAGCAAAGAAGAAAAAGCCUCUGCACAUAUGAUAAAAAGGUAUGGAGAUAUCAUACAUAUUUUCCUUAGCCCACGCUGAGGUUUGAUUAGUCCGCUAAUCAUACCAUUUAUAAUUACAGAAAAGAAGCAGAGCUUAUACACCUCAUGACCAAUCGUACAUAAUUUUGAAAAAAGCCUAGCUCCAACAUGGUUUGCUCAAGAAAAUUCCAUUCUAAUCUAUCGUAGGCUUUACUAAUAUUGAGCUUCAUAGACACAAGGUCAUUUCUUUUCCCCUUACCAUGUCUUAUUUUAUAGGAGCAUUUGUGACCUACAGUGAUAUUGACAAUUAUCAGCCUAUUAUGAAAGCACUUUGCAUUAGGGAUAUGGCUUUGGACAGGGUUUGUUUAAGCCUAUUUGCUAUUGUCUUAGCAACAAUUUUAUAGAUAACGUUACAAAGACUAAUAGGCCUAAAAUCACUGACUUUUAUAGGUUUUCCAAUCUUAGGAAUUAGAGCAAUAUAUGCAUGAUUGAGAGGGCCUAUAGUACCUUGCUUGUUGAGGAUGUGGAGGCAAGUAGUGAUAACUCCGGAUUUAAUCGUUUGCCAAUGUUUUUGGUAAAAGACUGCUAGCAAUCCAUCAGGCCCUGGAGUCUUCGUUGGACACAUCUGUGAUAAGGCUUCAACAAUUUGCUCUGUUGAGAAAGGCUUGUCCAAUUGCUCGUUCAUGUCAUUUGAGAGCCUCAGUGUUAUCCCUGAAAGAGCUGUUGCUAUUUGGUUCUAGCUCGGUCUGGAUGUGGUGAAGAAAUUUGUGAAAUAAGUGCAAAACUCAUGCUCUACUUCUUCAACAUUCUCAAUCCAUCUUCCUGUUUCAUCUUCAAUUCUCCAUAUUUCCAGGUCCUCUUGCGUUUCCCUCUAUCUCAUGCUUCUUUUUGCCGCUUGUUUGCUGUGUCAUUGUUAUUUCCAACACGCCAUUCAUUAAACGCUUUUCACCUACUCGUUCCACCUCAUCACCUAUAGCUAAUUCAUUAGUUUGACCCAUCUCUUCCUGAUUUGGUUUUGUCAACUAGGUUACUUUGACUCUGUUGAGGUUGUUGCGAGCAGCCGUAGUGUUCUGAGUUUGCCGAAUUACUCACUAAUUUGCCACUAUCCCUAUUCUAUCUCUCCUUGAUAUGGUGCUUCUUUGAGCGUCCUCCCACUAUAACUGCCUUCAUCCACACCCCAUAUGGACGUUCCUCUUUUCGUUGACCCUAAUACUUAGCACACUCCUUGAACUAGUGGCUAAUAACUCCACAAAUGAAAUAAAAGUCAGGCAAUCGUUCAUAAUCUAUAGACAUUAGAAUAUCUGCAUCACCCUCUUGUAAGAUCUUUUCUAAUGGCUGAGUCAUUUUGAUCGAAAUUCUAACUCUUAUAAAUUCCCCAAUAUAUUUACCAUAUUCGUCUGUUUCAACCUCCUUUACUAUUCUAAUCUUCCCUCCCAAUUCUUGGAGAAAAUAUCUUUCCAAACAGGCAACUGGGACAUUUCGAAUCUGCACCCAGAAUGUUGUAUGAGUGAAAGACUGUUUUAUGAUCUCCCCAAUUCCUUUUGGUUAUGUAAGGACAAUUAAGGCCCUAUCAAAGUGCCAAGGGCCUCCUGUCAUCACCCUUCUUUUAUCAGCUUCAUCUGCAAACUUGAACAUAAAGAUAUGAACACCCAAGCUCUCUAUCUUAACUUCUUUAAUUGUCCUCCAAACUUGCUGUAAUGCCAUCUUCAACCCCUCCUUAUGAACUCCUCUUGUAAGAAGUAUCUUGCCCAUCAAAUAGCCAGCCAAAACCUUCUCUUUUUUUUUUCCUUUCAUUCUCACUUCCAAAGUUACUAUAUUUUUCUUCUUUCUCUUUGAUAGUUAUCGCUUUACAUUUACGAAUUAAUUCCUCUGUAUCCAUAGCAUUUAAGACCUUUCAGAAAUAAUUGUUGCAUUCACUGUUCUAAAAGUAACCUUGUGUUUAAAUCCCUUACCUGUAACACCCUAGGCAAAUCCCACAUCGGCAAAGCACAGGAUAGAUAUUGGGUUUAUAAAGGGUGAUCUACACCUUAAUUGGCAAGAUGCGUUUUGGGGUGUAUAGGCGCCGUAGAAACAAACUUGUGCAAAUCUUCUUAAGGCCCAACGCGAACAAUAUCUUGUCAGGUCUGGGUUGGGUCAUGACAUUAUGGUAUCAGAACGGCUCUGCGUAUCAUCUUGAGCGAUGUUGGGGCAAACCUCAGCGAGGACGCUGAGUCCCCAAGGGGUGUGUGUGUAACAUCCUAGGCAAAUCCCACAUCGGCAAAGCAUGGGAGAGAUGCUGGGAUUAUAAAGGGUGAUCUACACCUUAACUGGCAAGACGCAUUUUGGGGUGUAUGGGCGCCCCAGAAACAAAACCGUGCAAGCCUUAUUAAGACCCAAAGUGGAUAAUUUCUUGUAAGGUCUGGGCUGGGUCAUGACAUUAUGGUAUCCGAGUGGCUCUGCGUGUCCUCUUAAGCGAUAGUGGGGCAAAACUCAGCGAGGACGCUGAGUCCCCAAGGGGGUGUAUGUAACAUCCUAGGAAAAUCCUACAUCGGUAAAGUACAGGAGAGAUGCUGGGUUUAUAAAGGUUAUCCACACCUUAAUUGGUAAGACGCAUUUUAGGGUGUAUGAGCGCCCCUGAAACAAACUCGUGCGGGCCUUGUUAAGGUUCAAAACGGACAAUAUCUUGUUAGGUCUGGGUUGGGUCAUGACAUUAUGGUAUCAUAGCGGCUCCAUGUGUCCUCUUGAGCGAUGGUGGGGCAAACCUCAGUGAGGACGUUGAGUCCUCAAGAGGGGGUGUAUGUAACACCCUAGGUAAAUCCCACAUCGGCAAAGCACAUGAAAGAUGUUGGGUUUAUAAGGGGUGAUCUACACCUUAAUUGGCAAGACACGUUUUGGGCCUUGUAUAGGCGCCCCAGAAACAAACAAGCACAUCUAUUUUUUUCAAAAUUAAUAGUUGAGUCUUAAAUGUGAACUUAUUUGGUGGCUGCAAAUUAUGAACCCAUUUUUGAUUUCGGUGAAAACGAAAAUGUAAAAUGCAAAACAGAAAACGUAAAAUGAUAUGAUGCAAUAAUUACAUAAUUAAUGUUUUCCCUAAGAUAUAGUAAAAGCAUAUGUUUCACCAAAAAAAUUUGAAGCCUUACAGGUCCUCCCAGCCGUUUUAUUUAUUUAUUUAUUUUUAGUAUUUACAGAAAUGAAACUAAAACUCUCCUCACCCACAUGAGUGGUUGAAUCUAAGCCACUUAAAGUUAAUAAUUCAUGAAAUGGUGCCUUUGUUUUGUGGCGGUCGCGGGGCCUUUGCCUCUGAUUAAUAUUAUUCUUUUAGCGUGUGGAUUCCACAAAUCGAAACCCUUCGGAAUUUUAUUUAUUAUUUACUGAAAUAUCAUUUUCCCUAUGGCUUCUACAUAUUAUGCCUAUAGCUAGUGAUUGUUACGUAAUUCAUAUAAAAAAUCAAUUUUAGAAUUGUAACUAUUUUAAUUAACAGAUGCAAGGUAAAUUCCUUAACAGAAAAAUUCAUCUAUGUUCUCUUAGAUUAUAAAAGAUGAAAGUAGCGUAAUUAAGUUUAAGAGAAAACUGAUUUUAUUAAAUUUCAAGGACGAAACGAAAAAAACAAUAAGAGAGAUAAAAAGAAUUUCUAAGAGAACGAAAGUAUCAUUCGACAAGUAAAUUUAAAUUCAUAAUUUUUUCUGCCCGAUCUAAUGUUAAUUCUUAGCGGCAAGCCUACGGCACAAGCCACAUAUAUGGAAUUAUGCAUAAUUUUUAUUGGUUAAAACGUGACAUUGAUGAUGUUGAAAGAACAAAUAAUAAACAAUAAUACAAUAAAACCUCCAAAUAGAAAUACUUUAUAUAUGAAUAAUUUCUUUAUAGUAAUAAAAAUUUUGAUCCCAAGUUGGGACCAGUUAUAAUUAAAAAUAAAUUUCACAUUGUAAUAAGUUAUAUUUUUUAUAGGUCCCGACUUAAUAAACUUACUUUCACAUAGUAAUAAUAUAUCAAAAAUAUAUAUCAUGUUACAUUAAAUAAUUAUUAAUUUAUUAAUACAUGACAUAAUUUACCCCUAUAUCACUUGCAUUAGAGAUAAUUAAGUAAAGACAAUAAUUUUUAUACUAUACUUCUAUUGAGUUAUAACCUCUUUAUUAAAAUAAAUUUCUCCAGUCUCAACAAUAUGAUUAUACAGAUAAUUUACUGUAUCAGGCUUUUUGAUGCGUAUAGAAAGCAGGACGAGAACACAAAAACACAAGUUUAAUUAAUUUAUUUGAAAAUACAUAACAUGUUUCAGACAAGAAAAUUAGAUUAAACUCAAGUUUGAUAGUUAAUUUAUUUGAAAACACAUAACAUGUUUCAGGCAAAGCGAUAAGAUUAAAUUCGAGUUUGUUAAGCACAAAAACUCUCUCGCAUAUGCCGCAAGCUAGCUUAUUAGAAAGAGCUGACCAAAUCACCCUCCGAUGAUGAUGAUCUUGUUGCAAUAUUACUGUUUCCAUUGACCCUCCUGCAGUUCAAUCUAAUCUCCCCUUGAUUUCCUGUCAGUGGUUUCAAAUUGCCCAUUCUUAUCAUUGAGGUCACAAAGUUUUUAAAGAAAGCAGUCUGGUUCCUCCCAAAGUCCUCGACAAUGGCAGCGGUAUCGGCACCAGGAGUCGAAAACAACUCUUGAUCACUCUGCAGAAGGCCUUUGCGGAGUCUAAGAUUGGAGAAGUAUUUGUUGUCGAAAGCAUCAGGUGUUUUGACAUCAAAAUUAGCAAGAACGGCGCCGUUUCCACCUUGUGGGCAUAGUUCCCUCAGUUGCUUUAAGAGGGUUCUGUCCAGUGUUGGGUCUGGCUUGCCAGUUUUGUUGAAAUCGUAUAAUCUGUCCCUGAAAAAUUUGCACUGAGCCCUUCCAAACGUGUGAGCUCCUGAAAAACAUGCAUGACCAAACCUUUGUUAUUUUUGCUGAAUUCACAUACGAGGAACAAUAAUGAUAAUUUUAUUGUUAGGGAUAUUAUUUAAAUUUUGAGUUAAGUAAAUAUAAAUUUAAGGCACCAACACUCAUUUCUUAAAUUAAUUUUUGAGUAUGAGUUACUACUAGUAGCAGGCAGUUUUGACUCCUAAAAGUUUACUCUCGUAACUUUACUCAAGUAACUAAAAGGAUGUAGAAGCAAUUAAUAAUUACCGGAGAGUGCAACAAGAUCAAACUUGUCAUUGAGGCCAACAUUUCUAAAACUAGAUUUGAGCUCAUCAAGAGUAUUAGAUGGUCCUGGAAGAUUCUGAUUUGCAAGAGCUCUGUUUGCCGUUCUGCUGUCUCUUCUUCCCAAUGGAACUGCCCAUGACGGACCCCCUGACUGUAACCAAAAGCCAUUCACUCAAAAUCAGCAAUAAUCUUAAGAGAUGUGUGUUUGGGGCGGACUAUUUAAUUUGCUAACCGUUGAAUCAAACUUUGUCGUAUAACAAAAGAAGAAAACUUUUAAUUUUAAAACUAAGGCCUUGCUACGAUACACCAGCGCAGUAAAAAGUGUCUCACUGUCGGUAACAAUUUAUCCGUUGAUAAUCACUAUAUUGACAUACUUGCAGCAAUUUUGGUACCAUACAGUGUAGCUGAUGCACCAUAGUCAAUAAGUCACCCCUUUUAAAUAAUGGAGUCCACCACGUCGUCCGAAUCUAAAAAUGAUGGGUCCAACGAUGGAUCCCUUCACUUAAAUCAAUUUCCACAUGGUGAUGAUGGGGCAAUUUUGUCGUUGAAUAGCAGAUGCAAUAACUAGCAAAGGCUAAACAUGUGGACUCAGAUCUUGCACAUUGUUCUAUGUGAAUAAUUAUUUAAUUAAUAUAUUCUUCUAAGGAUAAAGUUGAACUUACGGGAUAUUUAAUUAACCGAAAAAAAUAAUAUAAAAACACGUUAAAUUUAUAUGGGUUAUUAUUAAUUAAAAAAAUAGUUAAAAACUACAUUAAUACUGCAAAGAUUUACCAUUAUUCUGUUCGCUUAUUCUGAUACCCAUAUUAAUUUACUUCUAAGCGUAAAAUAUUUACUGGGAAGAGGAGUUGGUAAUAGAAAUUCAUUACCAAAGCAACGGAUCGUUCAGCCGCAAUAGUAAGGAUAUCAGCGCAGGAAACAACCCUUCGACAUGCCUUUUCAACGGCAGCUUUCAUGUUAUCAAUAACUUCAAAACCCCUCGCCGAAUUAUUAUUUGGCGCAGCAAAUUUCUCGCUGUCUAUGGUGUUAGUGCUGUCCAGCAAAAUCGAUGCAUCACACCCCUGGAAAAAUAAUAUUAAUUAACAACUUGCUAUGUUAACAGUCCAUUGUAUUGUUACUUUUUCAAGUAGAUAGAUUCCUUCUUAUCUUAUGGACAGGAAUUCAAAAAAAUUAUAUAAAUAAUGCAAACUCUUCUUUAAAUUGUCUUAUUAUUACAUAUGUUUUUAAGACUAGGAUUUCCUGUUGAUUUAAAUUUCUCAGUUGGAAGAAUAUAAAACAAGUGUGAUUUUUUUUCAACCAUACACCAUUAAUAUUGGACCCAUGAUCAUUAAAAGCACUCAGCAGGGAUGAGGCCAUGAGGUGGAUUUUAUUUCCUGUUUUGUACCAAAUCUUUGCUAGAUUUAAAUUUCUAGUACAUGAAAACCCCAUAUUAAAAUUUAUUUAUAAACAUAGAAUUACAUGGUCCUCGGUACAUCGAAUUAGAGAGGAAAAAAUUUUUGUAAAGAGAAAAAAAAAAGAUAAAUAAAAAUGGUUUUGGAAGUUGUUGAAAUUAAAAUGAUAUAUUCAAACUCUCAAUGAAAACUCUAUAUUUUGUUUAAUGCCAUAAAAAUUAUAAAGAUACUGUUCAUUGAUAUACUUGAAACUAUGUUAUAUCAAUAAGUACAUAGACAGAGAGCUUGAUAAAGUAAAGAAGAUGAAAAAUGAGAGAGCAGAGAUUGCUUACAUCAACAAAACAGUCAUGGAAAUGAAGCCUGAUGAGGCUGGCACCGAUCCGGAUAUCGGACGAGAAAGCUUUCUUAAGCACAUCCUCGAUAAUGUUCAAUACAUUAGGGCAUGUGGAAGAAUAAAAAGAUGGAGAAAGUUGAGCUUGAGAUGGUGAUCCCUCAAGCACAAAAGCAACAACAAGAGCUGCUGCAAGAAGAUAACGAAGUGAAGCCAUUUUGGCUAAGAGUUACUACUUCUCUAUGAAGAGAAUGAUUAGUCUUAGGACUUGGAAAACAAAGAGAAAUGCCUCUUUAUUUAUAACCAAACAAACCAGAUUAGGAUUAGAACUUUGCAGCAACCUUGAAGUUCCUCGUUUCACUGUUUGAAUAGGUUAGUUACGUUAUUAAUUCGGUAAUUCCCUUAAUUAGGUUUAUGUGAUUUUUUUUUAAACUAAUGUGGCCCACGUGAGCAUCUAAGUAAACUAUAUGGAUACAGAUGUCUUUUUUUCUUUAUUAUUAAAAUAAAAUUACUAGUUAAUUUUCUUUUUUAAAUUUCAUUCAAUUUUUCUUUCGUGUUUAAAAGCUUAAGUCUUCAAUUAGAUUCUUCGAUUUUAAAUUUUUUUUUUCAAGUACAAUAUACUAAUUACGGUGCAUUUGAAAUUACAUGUCUUAUUUUCAUAAUGAUCUUGAAAUUUAGAAAUAACCUUCGUUUUUGUGGAGAGAACAUAAGAAAGAGGAAUAUUUGUUUGUAAAAUUUUAUUAAAAAAAAAAGUAUAAAUGAACGUAUUACAAAUGCAUGUAUAUCAAACUUAUUUGAGAAUAAAAGCUUAUUAAAAUGAAAUCCAAAAUUUUGAGUAAUUAUUCAUGAAAUGAGGGACUAAGUUGAUAAUUCUUGAAAUGGUGUUAGGUAGGGGCGGCGACGCCUCGAGCCGCCUUUGUUUAAUGCCAGCCUACCUGUUUCUUUUAUCGUAUGUGUGAAUGUGGAGCAGCGUGUGGAUUCCACAUAUUCGAAAUCCUUCAUUUCAACCUUUUGAAAUUCAUAUAAAAAACAAAACCUUUUGAAAUUUUUUAUUUGUCUACCGAAAGAUCAAAUAUCAUUUUGUCAGCUUAUACAUAGUUAGAUGCGAGAUUGAGCUACUCAAACUUUUUAAGUUAUAAUUAUUAUAGAAAAAAUAAAUUAUAAAAUAAAAAUUAAUAAUAAUUAUAUAUAUAUAAUAUUUAAUAAUAAUUUUGAUAAAUAAUAAAAAUAUUAUAAAUUUUUAUCAUAUAAGUGUGGGUUCAAUCAUCUUAAUUUUUAAACUCUAAUAAUAAAUGUUUGUUAAAUAUUUUAAUAUUUAUCCUAAAAGGUAUAAUUGUUUGCCUUCGACUUCAAAUGGGGUUAGAUUAAAACCCCAAGUGGGUGCUAAAUAAUUAAGUGGUGGCAGGAUUAUAUUUGAAAUGGGUAUAAGAGUAAUUUAGAUUUCUAAUUCAAGAAGGGACCGAGAGCAAAUGAAAAAGAUAGAACACGCUUAAGUUCUAGAAGGAAAAAUGAUUUUAUUAAUGAUCAUGAAAAAGAUAACCAUUGUUACUACUUUUAGUUUGGGAAAAAAAGAUCAAAAUAUUUGCCGUGGUUUAGUGAUUAGACACGAAGAUUCCAUUACUUUUAGAAACUAUAUAGGCUCUUUUUUGUGCACAGAGACCGCACAAAUUUUUUGAAAUUUGUCCAAAAACUAAGUUUUCUUAUCCUAAAAAGAGUUUGUGUAACCAUUUUUAAAAAUUACAAAAAAUUCUUCCCCACUAUUUUGUCAAACUACAAAUGUUAGACAAAAAGGAAAAAAGCAAUAUGUAAAAAGAAAGUGUUUUUCCGGUUAAUGUUUUAAAGCUAGAGGAUAAAAUGCAAAUGAAAAUACAUAUCGAUGACUUCGGGAGAAAAAAAAGAAAAGAAAAAAGAAACACAUACAAUAUGACAAGGAUUUCUGAUACAUAGAAAGCAGGGCGUGAAUACACAACCACAACUUUAGUUUAUUGAAAAUACAAAGCAUGUUUCAGGCAAAACAUAGGAGUAAAUUCAUGAGUUUGUUACCCACAAACUCUUUCUCUCGCGUUAGCUGCAAACUAGCUUAUUCAGAAAGAGCUGACCAAAUCACCCUCCGAUGAUGAUGAUCUUGUUGCGAUAUUGCUGUUUCCGUUGACCCUCCUGCAGUUCAAUCUAAUCUCCCCUUGAUUUCCUGUCAGUGGUUUCAAAUUGCCCAUUCUUAUCAUUGAAGUCACAAAGUUUUCAAAGAAAGCAGUCUGGUUCCUGCCAAAGUUAUUGACAAUGGCAGCGGUAUCGGCACCGGGAGUCGAAAACAACUCUUGAUCACUCUGCAGAAGGCCCUUGUGUAUUUGAAGAUUGAAGAAGUAUUUGUUGUCAAACAAAUCAGGUGUUGUGACAUCAAGAUUAGUUAGAACGCUGGCGUUUCCACCUUGUGGGCAUAGUUGCCUAAGUUGUUGUAAGAGGGUUGUGUUAAGUGUUGGGUCUGGAUUGCCAGUGCUGUUGAAAUUGAAUAACCUAUCGCUAAAAGCUCGGCACUGAGCCCUUCCAAAUGUGUGAGCUCCUGAAAAACAUGCAUAGCCAAUCUUUGUUAUUUUUACUCAAAUUCAUACAAAUUAAGGAUAAUAAUUGAGUUUCAUUAUGGUGGUUCUCACUUUCUUUUUGGGAAGCAAUUCAAAUUUCAUGAUGUAAUUAAGGGGAGUAAAUUUGUCAAACGUUUUAACAUAUUCCUAAUCACCAAUGUCAAACUUUAAAACACAGUUUCUUCGCAUCAUUAGGAUAUUCAGUCAAGCCUCCUAGGUGCUGUAGAGUAUGAAUGUGCUUUGUGUCGGUGGUCGUCUUAGUACGAGUAAUAAUGAGAAAAAAAUUGAUAUUUAGUGGAUGAGACAUCCUUAUCAAAAUUUAUUUUUUUCUUUUUAAAUAAGAUAUUCAACAUUUAAACUAUCUCUAAGAUUUCAAGACUCAGUAUUGGCAUUAAAAAAUUUUCCACCUCCAGAUUUCUAAUUCUGGCUCCAAUACUGCUUUAUCCCAAAAGACUCCAAGGUCUGUUUGUACUCAAGUCAAAGGGUGUAUAAGCAAAUAUUACCGGAGAGUGCAACAAGAUCAAAAUUAUCGUUGAGGCCAACAUUUCUGAAUCUAUCUUUGAGCCUCUCAAGACUAUUGUUCGGUCCUGGAAGAUUUUCAUUUGCAAGAGUCCUGUUUGCUGUUCUGCUGUCUCUCCUUCCCAAUAGAUUUGUCCAUGAAGGACCCCCUGACUGUUACCAAAACCACGAUCAUUAGUCAAAAGAAUCACUUGAGAGAUGCAUAAUAAGCAAAUUUACCUAAAAUCAGAAAUAGACAUGCAAUUACUCUUUCCCACUUUAUUUGGCUAAUAUUUAUAUGGGUCUUGUUGCACCCAAAAUUAGCAGUUUCCCGACGUUACAAUUUUGAGUGAACGGUUCAACCAGACUGUAUCAUUUAAAGAAGAUAAUUUCUUUUUUAUUUAUAUAUAUUUUUUUCAACAUAUAUACUGGAACCCAACACGUAAAACUGAUGUGUCCUAGAUGUCUCAUCACUUUUUUUUUUGGUUUUGGUGGGGGGGGAAGGAAAAGCCUUCCCUUUCCACACGGUAAAGUCAACAUGGUAAUUUCGGUAGACUGUUGCCGCCUAAAACUAAGCAUGUGGAUUCGUUUAGUUAAUGUACUCAGGGUCUGAAAAUUUCGACACGAAUGUACAGUCAAACUUACUCUCUGAUACCAUGGUAAUUUAAUUACUUUUAAGCUUAAAAUAUGUAUUAGGGCAAGAUGAGGAGUUGUUAAUAGAAAUUCAUAUAUACCAGAGCAACAGAUUGUUCAGCUGCAAUAGUAAGAAUAUCAGCGCAGGAAACAACGCCUGGACAGGCCCUUUCAACGGCAGCUUUCAUGUCAUCAACAACUUCAAAACCCCUCGCCGAAUUAUUAUUUGGCCCAGCAAAUUUCUCGCUUACUAUGGUAGUAGUAUUGUCCAGCAAAAUCGAUGCAUCACAGCCCUGAAAUAACAUCAAAAGCUUGUUAUGAUCAACUGCUCUUGUAUCGUUAAUUUAAUAAUUAGGUAGAUUCUUCUUAUCUUACGAUAUGUUAUAUCGAUAUAGUAAAUAGAGAAAAAAUCAAAGAGUAGAGAUUGAUUACAUUAACAAAACAGUCAUGGAAAUGAAGCCUGAUGAGGCUGGCACCGAUGCGAAUAUCGGACAAGAAAGCAUUCUGAAGCACCUCCCGAAUUAUGUUGGUUACAUUAGGGCAUGUGGAAGAAUAAAAAGAGGGAGAAAGUUGAGCUUGAGCUGGUGAUGAUCCCUCAAGCGCAAAUGCAACUACAAGAGCAGCUGCAAGGAGAAAACGAAGAGAAGCCAUUUUGCAAUGAUGAGAAUGAGAGUUAUUUCUAAGCCUUCUAUAUAUGCGCCUCUUUAUUUAUAGCCAACCAAGCUAAACAGGAGUAGACUUGGGAACGACUAAGAAGUUUCACAUUAUAUUGUAAAAGUCCACAGUUUGAAAACAAAAGCUUAUAUGAUGAGAUAAUUACAUUUUCGAUUUUCUCCCUAAAGUUUGGUGAAAGCAUAUUUUUCUCCACAUAGUUUUGAGGUGUUAACGAUAAUUUAUUAUUUGCUUUUUAGUAUUGUAGAAGUAUGUCAAGUGUAUCUCGGUUGUCCCCCCUUAAAUACUCCAACCACCCCAUGAAUUGGUUAUUAAAUUAAAUUUAAAUUAUUUUACUUCUUCUUUUUAUUUAACUUAAGAGUAAGAGAAGAAAAAAGAUUUCUUUGUUCAUUGGAUAACGAACUCUUUUUAAAAUCAUGGGAUUUCUUUUUGAUUUUUUUUAGUCAUGAAAACUAUCUACACAAAAACAUUAGAUAUAAUAGCUUCGGCCUUGUCCGCUGAUAGAGAGAGAACGAAAUCGGGAUAAAUACCAAUACCUAUUACGGGUAGAAGAAUCGAGAUCAAAACAAAUAACUCUCGUGGUCCAGAAUAAAAAAAAAAAAAAAGAGUUUGGGGCAUUAAAUAGCUUGUACUCAUAGAACAUUUGCCGUAACAUAGAUAAUGAAUAAAUAGGAGUUAAUAUCAUUCCAAUUGCCAUUACAAAAGUGAUUACUAUUUUUGGCAUUAAAAAAAUUUUUUGGCUGGUAAUUAUUCCAAAAAAUACUAUCAAUUCUGCAACAAAACCACUCAUGGGGCAAAGGUUCUUGUUUAGUGGAUGAGAUUUUUUGUCCCCGUUAGAACUGUUUUUACCUUUUUUCUUAUUAAACAAAGGAAAAGGUAAUAACAACGCCGAUAUUAAAAGGAUGAGCUAAUAUAAUUCAUCCUACUUCUAUCGCAAUUGGAUCUAACUUUUAAAGUCGGUAAAAUAUUUUUUAUCUUACAUGGAACUUAAAAUUCAAAUAAAUCUGCAUGUUAAGGUAAAAAAGGAGAAUAAUUAAGUAAAUAAUUUUGACUAAGACAUAUAUUUUUAAAAUAAUUUUUAAAAAAUACAAAGACUAGCUAGAUAUUUGACUCAAAUCUUAAGGAUCAAAAGAACAUUUAUCCCAAAAAGAAAAUUGUGAGGAUAUUUCCACUCCACUUUUUAUGUAACAACACCCUAUCUUUUUAUAUUUUAUAAUUAUGAUUUUAUAAAUAAAUUAUUCGAAACUCGUGCACUUAUCCUUAAAUCAUAUAUGUUUAACCAAAGAGAAUGAACAGGAUUUUUCUACGAAAAAAUUAGAUUUCUUAGUUUAAGAAUAUACAAUAUUUAUCUUCUUGCUUUCCUUAUAUCUUUCAAGGAAUAAUUCGCUGAAUUGUGAGUAUAUAGUUUUGUGGAUGGAAAAUUAGAAUGAAUAUUCAAUUUCAAUUUUUAAAUUUUGUUUAUAUACUGCUGAGCUGGUUUCAUAACUGAUGAAAAAUUUGUUUUAUUAGGCAAGAAAAGUUUAAGAUUUUACAGUUAAAAUUUAUUUAUUUAUUUAUUUGUUUGUUUGUUUAUUAUUACUAGUAUUUUCUGUUAUGUAUGUACAUGUUCUCCCCAGAAUGCAUUUUGAUUGAGAAACUACUGUCUGUGCAAUUAGAUGCUGCAAUGUAUGUCAUUUAUAUAUGGACAUGUCCCUCUUUUAAUUAAAAUGAUUCAUGGCAUGGCAAUAUUGGCAGAGUCGUUUAUGCAUGUCCAUUUUGAUGCCAUUGAAACUUUAUUGAGCUACAAAGCAAGUGUUUUUUGGCCAAACUUUGUGCAAAAAAAAAAACGGAAUUGGCCCCUAUUGUAAUUUUCUGGUGACUAAGGGUGAGAAAUUAAAGAAGAAUAGUUCCCCCUUUGUAAUAUCCAAAAUUUCAUUUGUUUGUAAAAAUAAUAAUAAUAAUAAUAAUAAAUAAAUGAGCUUAAAUUCUGAUCGACUUAAUUAGGGUUGAAGAAUUCAACUUUGAUAAAUGACAAUGUUGGAUUUAGUCCGUGCCAUGCGAAUGUGGAGUGUGGACUGUAUGAGGCGUGUGGAUUCCACAUACUCGAAAGUCGAAACCUUUCAUUUCAAGCUUGUAGACUUUUAUCCUUUUUCUUUAUAUUGAAUUAUCAUUUUUGUCAGUUUAUACAUAAUUAAUUGAUUGAGACACACGGACCUUGCUACGUUACAGACUCUGUAUGUAACGUAGCAAAUGGGGAGCAUCCGCGCAUUGCGGGAGAGCGGAAAAAUUGCUAGAAAUUAGCUGAUACAAGGUCAGUUUGCAGAACUGUUACAUUCAGACUCUGUAACGUAGUUUUGUCCACACGGACAAUACACAAGUAGAGUCAAAUAAUUGGAGCUAGCUACGUUACAGAUACUGUACGUAACAGAAACUGAAUUGACAAACGACUAAAUUAUAUGCAGCCACGUGUAGGGACGCGUGACAAAUUGACCGGUAAUUAUCCGGUCAAAAGAAAACCAACAAACUUCCAAUGCUUGGGUAAGGAUUAAUUUCAUAUUUACCCUAUUAUUAUUAUUAAUCAUUGGCACACACUAACUUUGAUGUAAGCCUUCAACCCCACCCCCAAAUAGUCAAAUUGUUGUCCUACGCGGUUAAGUUCAAUUACUGGCCAUUUCUAACUAGCACAAAGACAUUAAUGCCCUUAAUUAGACAUUAGGUCAAUGUAAAAAAAUAAACAUAAAUUUAUUUUUUUUAAACUAAAAUUUAGACAAAUUAGUAGUGUAAUUAAUGAAUAAAAUUAUAUUUUAUGUCAUAUGAAUAUAGGGGUAAAUUUUAUUGCAUGCUCAAAUAUACCGAUUACUGUUAAUCUACUCUUGGUAAAGUAUCUUUUUAUUUUCAUUCCUCUUUUUAUGCUACUUUUUUUAAUUUCUUCUUCAACUCCUUAAGGUUUUUUUUCGAUGAAUCUCUCGAAAAACCACUUUGUUGUUCAAAAUAGAAGAAUACACUCAUAUCAGAGAUUUUUUUUCAACUUUAAUAGUGGUGAGUAGAGGUUUCGAUAGCCCUAUAAUGGUGGUUUUUGUGUAGGUUCUACAAGGAAAAAUUUUGUAGGGCGACUUGUUAUUGGGGAAUUUUUUUUUCUUGUCUACUUGUUUUUAUUUUUUAUUUUUUGUUAUUUUAAUGAUAGCUUAGACGUUCAUAAGGGGAAUUAUUUGAAUGAUAUUGAUUUUGGUGAAGAAGCUGCCUUGUGUUUUGGCUUAUAGCUUGCUAGUAACAUUGAUUUAUCUCCAUUGAUUGUUAAGUCAGAUUCGAUAUUUGUGGUGUGUCAAAGUAGGAUUUUCAGGUUCAUUAUAUCUCAAGGAUUUAACAUUAUACUUUAAGUUGUUCAAAUUCUUUUAUAAGGAUGGAAGAUCAUUCAACUUGUAAUCUUUAAGUUUUUGAAUGAUAUGAAUUGUAAUAGUUUCCAUUAAAAAAAAAAAAAAACUCUUGGUACUUCAAACAAUCAUUACUCCAACUUCAUGCAAUUAGUUUUUCAGUUAGCUUGAAUGGUCGAUAACAAUUGAUUGAUGCUUGUAUAUAUUUGCCAUCAAUAUUAUUAAAUGUCAAUAAAAAGACAAAUACCCUUUGGUGAUUUUUUUUUAAUUGGAUAGAUUUUGCAUAAGAAGAUUAGAAGAACAUAUUCUUAUACCAAUUAAUAUAUUUCAAAUUCACCAAAUAAUUAAAGAAAGGGCGGGGUUCUUUAAACCCGUCAAAUUUCUUUCGAAAUCCAUUUUUAAAUAAACCCAUAACUAAAAUUUUAAAAUAUCAAUUUAAUUUCUAUUCAUUUGAGAAUUUCAAAAAUAACCCUUCGUAGAAUUUCUAUACAUUAAUAUUUUUCUAAUUGUUCUUGAUUUGAAUUAACAAAGAGACUUGACUUUGUCAAUUUGAAAAACAUUUGACAUCAUGAAAAGAUAAAUUUCAAUUAACAUUUUCAAUCAAACCUUCUUUGAAUUAUAAAAUCAAUUUUCUAGGUUGGUAUUUACACUGAUAAUUCUUUUUGAAGGGGAGAGGAACUUGUGCGUUUCCAAAUAUUCGUUUAAGAAGUCACAAACCUAACGAUUUACUAGUGUUUAUUGUUUUACAUAAACUCCAGGAAUUGAAAAAUCAAGAGAUAGUUUCAUCUUGUGACACAAUUUUUUUUUUAACCCACAAAAAAUAUUUUUGAUAUACCAUGUAUGCAAUUACAAGAAACUAUUUUAUAUGUAAAUUUGAAUUACAUUUCUCUCAUCAACUAUCAUAUUUUCAAUAUCAAACUAAAAAAAUUCACACUAGUUUAAAUAGAUGGAUGCUGAAAUAUGAAGUAAUUUUGAUACUAACAUGUUUAAAUAAGUAAUUCUAUCAAAGGAUAUUUUAGAGAAAAAAAUAUGUUGACUAAAGAUAAACUCUAGUUGGUUAGUAAACAAGUUCAUUUUUUUUAAAUAGUAUACGAGUUAAAUUUGAUUUUAAUUUGAUUUUAGAACUUUUUUGUUAAAAAAAUCUUACAACUAAAUAAAAAUAAAAUUGAUUUAACUAAAUCAAAAAAUUUGAUUACUGAAUAAAAAAUAAAUUUGAUUUUACUAAAUAUUCGUAUAUUUUACUAUAAAAAUUGACAAGUUAUAAGAUAUAUUUUACUUGAUCAAUUUAAUUCGAUUGAGGCAUGAUAGUUUUUUAAUUCAAUAGUAGAAAAGUUAACGGGUCGGGUAUGUAGUUUUACAUAAAAAGUUAAAGGGUGCAUAUUGAUAUUUGUCAAAAUAUUUGGGUGUGCAUGGAAAUGAACCCUUCUAAAUGUUAAAAACGGUUGCCCGUGAUUAAUUUCUAUUCUGGCCUUUAAUCCCAACCAUCCAAUUUCAGUCUCUAGAUCCAACGAAUCAAAAAUGCAUGGCUGUUACGUACAGUUUCUGUAACGUAGCCAGCUCCCAAAUAAUUAAUUACGUGACGGAUGACAUUUUGAAAAUGAUAUGUUUUUGCUUUUUUUUUUUUUUUUUGAGAAUGGUACGCUGUUAAUAUUUUUCGUAUUUGUUUUCAAAAAUGAAAAUUGAUGUUUAUUUGUGAUUUCAAAUCUCGCGUCUGAUAAAGUAUUUUAAAAAUUGUAAUCUAAAUAAAUAAAUACCAAACUGGCUUUUGAUUCCCGGAUCUUUUAUUUUAAGUUAAGAGAAUUACUAAUUGAACUGAUUUGAACGCACAAUUUAAAGAAUUUUUCAAUAAAGAAAGAGUAAUGAUAUAACUAUAAAUUCUUAUACAAAUUGAUGUGAUAUGAUAAAAUUAGUUGAAUUAAAUAUCUCUUGGCCCACAUGAUUUAUUUAUAUUAUUUUAUAUUUUUAUUCAACCAAUAAAUUACUAUCAUAUCAAUUUACAUAAAAUAAAUUUAUAAAAAAAAUUUAUGACUAUAUCACCAUUUAUAAAAAAAAUAUGUUUAAUAUAGUAUCUGAUGAAAGAAAAUCGUAAAAGCAACAUUAAUUUGUGGUGUUUAAGCUUUCAACUUUUCUUCAAAAAAAGUAAAAAGUAAAAACACCAUUUCUGUCACUUUCCAUAAAUCCUUCAACAACUCACCGAAUUUUAUUCUGGCCUUAUUCUAUCUUUCCUUUUUUUUUUUCCUAUUUAAAUGGAAAAUGGUGUUUAGUUUAGUGAUGACGACAAUAUCUAAUAUCUGUCAAAAAUAGAAAAAUUAUCCCAAAACUACUUUGAAGAACUUUGGGAUAAUUAAUUAAAUGUAAUUGAUCAAUUAUUCAAUUUUCACAUCUUAAACUUUAAACCCAUAAAAAGUCAGACUCAUAUAUAAGUGAGUUUAAACUAUCUUUUUAUGUGAUAAGAAUUAAAAGAAAAUGUUCGACCUACAUGUGACAAGGAGUGAUGAGGAUCGGAAUAUAUCUCACUGACUUAUCUGUAGCUAAUAAAACUAUAACGUUUUUCAUGCUCUUGUACGUGGAGACUCGUAAAUAUUCUGAAUUCACUUGUAUGAACAAAUCUGAAUUACCUUUACAUUUCCAAAAUGAAUACUCCUAAUUGAAAUAAAAGCGAAAAGAAAAAAAACAUAAAAGUUAUAUGUUCUUCAAAAAUUUCUUGGAAAUAGUUAAAAUAAUCAAAUACAUUUGAGGCAUCAAACAACAAACUUCGACCAUAAUCGGAUUGAUUUUGCAAUUAAACACAACGGAUUUUGUUUCUAUAUAUCACCGAAAGUUUAAAGACUUAACAUAUUAUAUGAGUAUUGUAAAUCAAUUAGUCAUUUCCCCCACAAAAUACAUGUCCUACGUACAUCAAGAUUUUUUUUCCCUUGGUCCUGUCCUUGAAUUUUGUACUGAGCUUAAAAACGGUUUUUAAUUUUUCCUUUUGUUUCGAAACUCUCACCUCCUGCUCUUAUUAUUAUUAUUAUUACUCAGCCUUCUGGUACGUAACUAAGACCAAAAAUGUCUGUGGUAUCGUUAUUUGCAGUUUAAUUAUAUUUAAAAUGAGACGAUUGAAUGACGCGUGUUCAUGAAGUGUAUAUAAUAUAAUAUGAAUAUGAAUAUGAAUAUGAUUGCGACAUUACCUGAAAUUUAAGGAACUGAUAAGUACAUAAUCUGUUUAAAUAAUAUUGUAUGGAAGAUUUCGGAUUAGAAUUUAAAAUAUAUGUUUCUUUCAAUCUUUUUCUAUAAUUCAUUGUUCAUAUGACCCUACGUCAAGAAAAUAAAAUACAGAAUAUCUAAUAUCUGAUAUCUCUAUCCAUAGGCAAACAAUUUCAGGAUUUUCUAGUUAACUUCUUAUACAAAGCGUUGAGAUGUGAGUAAAUUAUAUUUGGCCACUAUGUCACCAAAGUAUAUGUCUUUUUCUUUUUGGCUUAGAUUACAAUUAUUGUGCUAAUAUUCCUAAAUGAUCUUAAAACUAAAAGUUUGUCGAAUGACAAGAUCUUAGUUAAUGGUUUGUUUGUCAAUAAAUUAGUUAACCUGUUUUGUAAUAUGAUGACUAAGCUGUAUAUCUCUUGCUCACUCAAAUACAGGCAAAUCUUCAAUGCUUGGAAACUCUUAUUAAUAAAGAAAUGCAAAUAGCUCUUCUCAAAUUAAAUAAAGACCAAUUACCCGACAAUGCUUACUAUUUUCUUAAGUGACGUGAUUGUGCUAAUAAAGUUAGGUGGGGAGAAGAUAUCUAUACACCUAUCUGGAUGCAUGCGCCUGCUUGGACGGUAAGGAAAUGAUAGAAAUUAAAUGCCAAACAAAUAGAUGAUGCAAAGAAAGAGGAUAUAUUGUUGAUAAUUGUAUGAGUUGACUAGCCCAUUUUACACGUGGAAAGUGACUUCGGUUGGUGCAUGCAUGAGAUUUGUUUGAUUUUAGAUGAUGAUUUCAAUCAUUCGGUUUGAAUUUAAAAUUUCAAUAAGUUAGAAACAACGAUGCGGCACGGUAUAUGCGUGGAGUAUAUCUCCCUUUGGACCUUUACUUUUUUCAUGAUUUCAAUUAAUCAAUCUUGUAAUUUAUUUAUAUCUUUAUGAAAGCCAAGUGUACAAGGUACAUAUUUUUUAAGAAUUUUUAAAAAGUAGGUGAAAAACAGAUUUUUAAAAUUUAAUUUUGAUAAUAAAUUUCAUCCUUAAUAUAAUUCUACCUAAGUAGUUUUUCUGAUUUACUUUUAAAUUCCAACAAAAACAGACUAAGGUGGCGUUUGUUUUUUAACUUAAUGACUUAAAGUAACUUAACUUAAUUAAUUAAGUUAAUUAGAGGUAUUUAUUUUUAUAACUUAACGGGACUUUCUAGAUAAUUUUGACUUAAUAAAAUAAGCUAAUUUUUUUAGCUUUUUACUGAAUGAAAAAAUCUGAAUUAAGUCAGUUACUUUCUAAUGUCAAAAAUAUCCCUACUUUAUAAUUUAUUUUUCAUGUCUAUUCCAAAACUCACCCACAAAUAUUUACCCCACAUAAUAAUCUUAUCAUUAUUGUUUUAGCCAUCAUGCAAUCCCUCCUCACUUUGCUUCUCUCGUCUAGUUCUUGAAUCUCCCAUUAAUUUCUCUUGAAUCUCCCAUUAAUUGCUCACCGGGCAAGCACUUUUUUUUUUUUUUUGAUUACAUGAGACUAUUGCUCAAAUUACAACUCAUAUUACAUGAGAAUAUAACUGAUAUUUACAAAUCAUACUCUAACUGGGACCAACAUACAUCAAUACUAAUGGAGCGCUGCCCAGAUUUUAACCCUCUCAAAUAUUUGAGGGAUGUCUACUCCUCACACUUGGGUAAGGAAGCAGACUGCCUUCACUCAAAUUUACUUGAGGAAGGAAGACCCCCACAAUGCAUUGUGGGGGUUCGAACUGCUGCUCUCCAAGUUGGAGAGCAGCAGUUCUCACCACUCGGCCAAAGGCCGAGUGGCUACCGGGCAAGCACUUGACUUGGGCCUUUUUUUUUUACUUUUCAAUUACCUUUUCUAGCAUUCACUUUUAUUAUAUUUGACUUUUCAAUUACGUUUUCUAGCAUUAACUUUUAUAAUAAUCAAUAGCUUUGCUACUCUUUUUGGAUCUGACGCACUUUGUUAUGCGUUUUGGGUAUUGUUUUAUUUAUAUGAAUAUAUUUUGUUAAUUUGACAGUGAUUUAUUUGGGAGAAUUUUCGCUCAUCUGUUUGAUUUCAUUUUUCUUUUUUAUAAUUGAGAUGCUGUUGUGUAUGAUCAAUUGACUGAAUGCAGAUAUGACAUUGCAUUUUUUUUUUUUUUUGUAAUUGGUUGAAGUAGUUUUAAUAGAGCUAUCUUGGGUGGUUACGAAUUUUCCAGUCUCUUUGAAUGAAAUUAAUAAUUGCAAUUGCUGAAAUUAAUAAUCCACAAUUGGUUCCAUUUGAUUGUUUUUUGCGGAACUUUCUCAUAGAUGUCGUCACAAGGGGAGAGAGCAAAUUGGACUGAUCCAGCUUAUAGGAAAUAUUUUAUUGAUCUCUGCAUGCGUGAAGCAAACAAUGGAAAUAGAUCUGGGGCAACCUUGAAGCCUACUGCUUGGAACAGGAUUUCUCAAGAACUGAAAACAUUGACAGGAAAAUCUAUUACCCCGAAACAACUUAAAAAUGGAUGGGAUUAUAUGAAAAGGCAAUACCUCACAUGGCUGAAAUUAACAAUGACAACAGGACAUGGUUACAAUUCUACAACUCGUACUUUUGAUUGGCCACCUGAAAGAUGGGAAGAAUACUUGAAGGUAACAUUUUUUUCUUUUAUUUAAGUGAAUUAUUUAAUAUUUUUACAAUAUAAGUAUAAUCAAUUAUUAUGUUUUGAUUGAACAGAAAUAUCCAGAAGCUAAACAAUUUCGCAAUAAUCCUUUAGCAAAUGUUGAAGAGUUGGAGGCAUUGUUCUCAGGUGCAGUAGCAACAGGAGCUUAUAACUGGAGUUCUGGAAUGGAAGGGAUACCAGAAAUGGGAAAUCUAUCAUCGAUGCUAUCUGAAACUCCAAUUAACGUAGAAGAUAAUGAUUGUGAGGUAAAAACACCAGAUUCAUACACCAAUGUGGAUGAACCACUUCCCGAUGACAUGCAAAGGUGUAAAAAGAAACAAAAGAAAAGCAAAUCGGAUGAAACUCGCGAAGAUAUCAACAAAUUAGUGGCUGUAUUAGAGAAGACUGGUGACAAAGGACCUUCAAUUACUCAGUGCAUGCCAAUUUUGAGAAAGCUACUAACUUAUGACAAUCCCAUGUAUUAUGUGGCUACUAAUGCACUCUGCAAUAAGAGAGAGUAUCGAGAACUAUGGAUGGGCAUGGAGUGUGAUGAAGAACGAAUUGGAUGGAAUUAUAGUUUACCAAAAGGGCCUUAAUAUCUUAUUCCUAGUUCAUUUGUCAAUGUUUUAUUUGGUGUCAUUAUGGAAUUUUUGGAUUAUAUACCUUUUUGUUUAUGCAAUGAAUCAACGUUUUGAUUAAGGUCAUUUGCUGAACUUUUGGUUUGUGCAGUGAAUUGUGUGUUUUGGUUAUUUGAAUAUUUAAUGAAUAUCUUGCUGCUCAAAGUGUGGUUUACGUUGCUUAUAUAUGUUUUUUUUUUUACUUUAUUUUUGUUUUUGUAAUUUCUUAUAAAUUUGUUUAUAUGGUCAGGUUGCUAUAUCCUAUCACAAAUAAAUUGCAGCCUAAGCAAUACUUUGGACUUUAAUAGUAGGUAUGUCAACAUUCAAUUAAUAUUAAAUAUUCUUCUUUAAAUGCUACAUAUAUAAUAUAUAUUUGUUUAUUUUUUUUUGUAUACUAGAUAUGGCUAUGGCUGAUGAAGAAGUUGACAUAAAGAUUGGGGUUAAACGAAUAUUACGGAAACAAUUGAUUAUGUUGGUAAAAAAAUUAUUGAAAGGGUCGACCAAAAGGCAACGAGUAUCUACAUCAUCUUUGACAGGUUCUCUUUACAUUCAAGAACUUUUAAAUGGAUCACCAAUAGUCUGCUAUGAUCUUAUGCGGAUGGAUAAGAAUGGGUUCAUAUCUCUAUGUCAAUUGUUCAAAGAAAAAGGAUGGCUUUCUGAUAGUAAGCAUUUAACUGUUGAAGAGAAAAUGGCUAUGUUCUUAUUUACAAUUAGCCAUAAUCUUCGAAAUCGGUUCAUUAAAAUUAGAUUCCAGCACUCAGGUCAUACAGUGCAUAGGUAUUUUCAUGAAGUACUGUUGGCAAUGAUGAAGUUUUCGAAAGAAAUGAUCACUCCUCCGUCAUUUACAGAUAAUUCAAGAGGCAUCCGUAAUACUCGAUUAAGGCAAAUUUUUAAGGUAUAAAACUUUCUGUAUACUAAUAUGUUGAAGAAUAAAGCUUUUUAUUUUGAUUAUUGAAAUAAUUUAAUUACUAAUAUGUAGGAUUCAGUUGGUGCAAUUGAUGGAACACUUAUUCAUGCAUGUAUUCGAAUUGAUAAACAAGUGCCAUAUAGAGGUCGCAGCAAGGGAGAAUGCUUUCAAAAUGCAAUGGCCCUUUGUGAUUUUGACAUGAUAUUUAGAUAUGUUGUUGUUGGAUGGGAAGGAACUGCACAUGAUUCAAGGGUCUUAACUGAAACCAUUCGUAAUUCAAGAAAUAAUUUUCCUAUUCCACCGCCUGGUAUGUCAUUAUUCAUUAUUUUACCAAUUUAUUCAUUAUAAUUUAUAAUAUUAUAUUUUAUUAGUCACUCAUGUUGAAUGUUUUUUUUAGAUAAAUACUAUUUAGUUGAUGCAACAUAUUCACAUACAAGAGUUUUCAUGGCACCAUACCGUCGUGCGCGUUAUUGGUUAGGUGACUUUCGUAGUGGCGGUCGAGCUAGAGGAAGGGAGGAAAUAUUCAAUCAUGCCCAUGCUAAAUUGAGAAAUGUUAUUGAGCGUGCUUUUGGUGUGCUAAAGGCCCGUUUUCCAAUACUAAAAAGGAUGGCACCAUACUCAUUUGAUACACAGAGACAAAUAGUGGUGGCAUGCAUGGCGAUUCAUAAUUUUCUUCGAAAAAUAUCAGUGGAUGAUGCAUUAUUUGCUCAAUAUGAAAAUGAUGAAGUUGAGCUAGAAAGUGGUCAUGGCAAUCAAAACCACACAACUAAUGCUAUCAACUCCUCAAGUAUUGAAGAUCAAAAUUACAUACGACAACUUCGAGAUGAAAUGGCAAAUCAAUUGUUUCAAGCAUCUUAUUAGUUUUUUCUUUCUUAUAUUAUAUACGAUAAAAUUUGAAAUUUAUGGUAUUUCAUAUAUUAAAAUUCCAAAAUCAUUACGUAUUCACUUAAAUAUAGUUUUACUUAUAAAUGUUAAAAUAUUGUGGUAUUUAAUAUAUUAUUUAUUUGACAUUUAAAUUUAAUAAGGAUACAAAUGUAAAAGUACAUAUUUUCAGCUUUUUCAGUUUAAAAAAACAAACAACUUAAUACUUAUUUUCCGAGAUUCAGACGAAAAAAUAAACAUAUUAUUCAGAUUCAGACUAAUUCAGGUCUAUUUAGAUUUCAGACAAAAAAACAAACGCCACCUAAGUCUUACAUACUUCAAGUGAAAAGUGCGCUGAGUGAAUUUCAACAUAAAUAAGGAUGGUUUGAAUAAUUUUUAAAAAUUCAUAAUCUAAUUAAAUUGCAUAAUUAGCCGAAACCUAAAAGACUAAAAGAGUGUUUACCUAAAAAAAGCUAAUAAUUAUUGGACUAAACUAAAAGCUCUUAAUGCUUUACAAUCAUCAACGUUCUCCGAAAUUGCCAGUCCACGAUUAUGCAUUCUCAUUAAUUUCAAUCUUGCUAAUGAACGUGAGAAAUCAGCUUGAUAUUCAUUUUAGUAUUCCAUUAUUUUAAUUAAAUUUGAUUAGAAAAGAUUUGCAUUAUAAUGAAGAUUUGGUGAUUGAAAUUCUUUGUAAAAUCUCUUUGGCGAUUCAAGUUUGUUUGUAAAUCUUGGUAUUGUUUAAUGUACAUGAAACCUAAGUUUCAUCACAAAACACCUAAAAAAGGUCAAAACCCGUCUAAUUUUUCAUUUAGAUAAUUGAAAAUGGUGAUUCAUAUUAUUAUCCUAGUAAUUUGUUUUUUAUGCAGUGUCAUGCAUCUUCCAAAAAUUGAUUCCGAUCAUCGGCCUAUUCUAGUCAAAUUCCAGAACAUGGAUUCCAGGCAUGGGGCCCGAGGCCGUUUCGGUUUUUGGCUGCAUGGCUCACGAAUGAGAGGUUUGGGAGUUUUGUGAAUGGUAGCUGGAAUAAGGGAGCGAAUUUUCUCGAGGCGGUGGCUGAUUUUACUAAACAAACUAGGCGAUGGAACAAGGAAAUUUUUGGAAAGAUUAUUUAUCGGAAGCGGAAAUUGUUGGCUAGAAUAUGUGGGAUCCAACGAAUUUUGGAAACUAAGCCUAAUCAUAGCCUUACUAGACUUGAAGUUAAACUUCAGAAGGAGCUCGAAGAGGUUCUCACUCAGGAAGAAUUAUUGUGGCUUCAGAAAUCCAGGAGAGAUUGGACUUUGUAUGGUGACAGCAACACUGCCUAUUUCCAUAAAAAAAAAAACUCUAACCAGGCGUCGUCAGAAUCGGAUUACUGUGAUUCAAAAUGAUACUGGGCAGUGGAUAUACGACGUCGAGAUCAUUAAGCAACUUGCAGUCAGAUUCUUUUCAGAAUUAUACACGCCUGAACAAGGGGUGCAUAGCCCAUAUACUUUCAGGGGGUGUUUCCCUGUGAUGUCGGAUGAUAUUUGUUUAAGCUUGAUGUCUGCGGUAAUAGAUGAGGAAGUUAGACAGACUAUUUUCAGUAUGAAUCCCUUCAAAGCUCCCGGAGUUAAUGGCUUUCAUGCUGGUUUUUACCAAGCGCAAUGGAGUACAGUUGGUAUGUCGUUGUGUUCUUUCAUUAAGAAUAUUUUUAAUUCUAAUCAUAUCCCUGCAGAGAUCAACAGAACCUUGCUGGUGCUCAUCCCUAAAGUUGAUCAUCCAACAAGCCUCAAGAUGUUUCGGCCGAUCAACCUUUGCACAGUUCCGUAUAAGACGGUGACGAAAAUUAUUGCAGAUAGGCUACAUGCUCUUCUUCUAGAUCUCAUUGGCCCCUAACAAACCAGUUUUGUACUGGGUCGGCAUAUUACAGAGAAUAUUGUUAUUGCUCAAGAGGUAAUCCAUACAAUGAAGAAAAAGGUAGGGGGUAAAAGAAUGAUGGCCUGUUAAAGUGGACUUGGAAAAGGCUUAUGACCGGUUGAGUUGGUGCUUUAUUCAAGAAACUUUAAAGGAAGUUGGGCUACCAGAGCGAUUUAUUCACCUCAUAAUGGAGUGUUUGUCCACAGCCCAAAUGAAUGUUUUGUGGAACGGAGAAAUGACUGAAGAUUUUCGGCCAGGGAGAGGAAUUAGACAAGGAGACCCCCUUUCGCCUUAUUGGUGGUUGUCGAAGCCAACAAAAAUAAAUUCAUACUCUAAAUAAAUUGUGUAUAGUGAUUGAGUAAGGUCGUGUCCACAAAGAUCGAUAAUUAUUUAAAUCCUUUUAAAAUGUAAAACAUAAAAUGGGGGUUUUGUUGACAAUAAUAAAAAUCAAAUUAAAAUAACAAGAAUGCAAAUUAAAGUUGUAAUUCAAAUUGGAGAAAGCUCUGGUUGAAGGAAUUAACUCAGCUUGAUUCGGCUACUAAUCAUUGAUUCAAAUAUAGAUUAUUAUUACUUAUGAAUAGACCGGUUAUAGCUACUAAGACCCUCUAAUAGCCAAUCUCUCCUUAACUAGUCGAUAACCAAGGUACGACCGUUGGCUAUUUCCCUAAUCAAUAGACAACCCUAGAUACGAUCAUAGGAUUUAAUCAAUUGACAGCCUGAAAGACCAGAGAGACCCAAAUCCUAAUCAACACAUACGAUGAUUCAUUUAAAUUAGAUUGUUUAUUCUCAUAACACAACUCACUGCUAUGUUAUUUGUCACAAACAUUAAAAUCUUCAUACGAUGAAUCCUUUAAUUAACAAUAGAUUAAGUUGAUAAUUAAAUAGUGGCCAAUUACCUAAUUAACAAACAUAAUCAUGGAAAUAAUUCAGAGAAUAACAAAUACCCAAAAAGCAAUAAAAUAAUUAAAGCAUAAAAUAGAUCUCACAGUAGUGACGAAUCAAAACUUCAAUAUCCUUCAACCAGAAAAAUAGGUUUAGUUCUUCAUAGAGAGAAGAGAAAAGUUUAGAUCUAGGGUUUCUUUCUUUUCUCCAAAAGUCCCCCUUUUCACAAUAGAUUCCUCUCUUAAAUACUCUCUCUCUCUUCUCCUCUAGAAUUCUAUUUAAAAUAAAAUACUAAUAUCUGAAAUAUUAAAUUCGUAAUUACAAAAAUAACCAAAAAUACAAAACACGUUAAACUAAAAAUUGUAGGUCCGUAGUUGACAGCACGUGCCCACGCCUUAUCAACAAAGUUCUUCUAACACUCAUAAUUUCUCCAAGAGAACAAUCGUCUUUAAACAUCAUCUUAUAGCUCAAUUUUAUCACAAAUCAAUAGAAUUGCACCUACAAAAGUAAAACACAAGUAAAUCAUCAUUAUUAAGUGCAAAACAUCGAUAUUAAGGGAAGUAAACAAUGCAAAACUAGUGCAUAAAUUGCACUCUAACAAAUUUCCCCACACCAAGAUGAUGCUUGUCCUCAAGCAUAUAACUCAAGACUAAUCCCAAAUCUCCACUCAAUUUUCAUCUCAGCUCAUCCAAAAAUAAUUUUAAGCAAGCAUACCUCAAGAAUUUAAGUGGAUCAACAUUCGAGAGACAAGGAUUUUUAAAGCAUAGAAUCUCAUAAGAUAGAAUAAGAACAUUCAACCACCAAGAAGAUCCAUUCAAAAUUCAAGUGCAACAAGAUUUAAUAGCCCUCUCAUUGACUUCACUCCAUGCACUUAAAGUGUUUAGGGUGUCAUUUAUUCACUCAAAUCAAAUCAAAGAAUGCUAUUACAAUAAGCUUGCUUAUAUAUCACAUCUCAAUCCACAAAACAUGAAUUAAAUGCAAAAAUCUAAGGGUCUUAAAAAGGGUGUAAUGGGGUUAAAUAGGUUAAAUGAAAAAGAAAGGUAUACGAAAGAAAAAGAGAUCAAAAUGAGAAGAAUGAACUCAUUGAAUGAACUUAUGAUAUCAAAAUGCUUAUUUCUACUCACGGUGCUUAGAAUGUAAACAUUUUUUUUCUCUUUUUUUGAUUUUUUUUUUCUCUUUUUUUUUUUUUCUUUUUCUCUUUUUUUUUUCUUUUUCUUUUUUGUUUUUUUUUUAUCAAACAAAAGAAACAAACCUUGCACAAUUUAAUUCAAGCAUAAUGCUUGUUGAUCUAAUUGAGAAACUUUAAUACAAGGUAGAAAAAGCAACAAAAUAUAUAUAAAUAUAUCCACACAAUGAGUCCAAAAAUCUCCUUAAAUUGAGGCUCAAAAAAGAAGAAACAUGGUUAAGUAGACGGAGAGAAUUAGAUGGGUAAUAGUUAAGGCUCAAACAAAGAUAGCAAAUAAAGGUCUUCGGGUAGAGAAAAAAAAAUGUGAGAAUAGAAAAAUGGAAAGUGGUUUGCCCUUAUCAUUUUAAUGCAUAAAAUCCCGUAAUGCGGCUUCAACAUGCAUAACAAAGCAAGUUCUAGAAUAUACAAACUAAGAUUGAUAUUCACAUAACAAAAAUAAUUAGAGCAAAGUGGUUGCUCAUAGGCUCAAAUCCUCACAAAGUUGGUAAAUUUGCCAUCAAAUCAUGUACACUCUUUAAAUGAAUCAACUAUCAAUAGUGGUGUAGAAUGAGAAGAAGGUAUGAGUGAGAUAUAAAAGGAAAGGUAAAAAGGAUAAUAAGCGAGAAAGAUGUAUGUAGUAAAAAAAUGAAAGAUAAAAUGUGAGUGAUGAAAGAGUAUGAUAGAAAAAAAAAUAGAUGUAAAUAAUUUGAGAUAGAUGGGAAAACAGUAGUGAGAGAGAAAGGAAAAGAAAAUUAAUAAUAUAUGAAACAUAUUAACUCCAAAAUCAUUUAAUGAUGAGUAGAGUGAAAAUAAUACUUCCAGACAUCAAUAAUGCAAAAAUCCCUCCCCCAAACCAAGAACUUACAUUGUCCCCAAUGUAAGAUAAUCAAAGCUUACAUAAAAAUUAAAGCGUAAGGAUAAAAGAUUAAAGGCAAAAACUUCCCUGAAUUGUGAGCUUUGAUCCUCAUAACAUCUAUAGGCUUGGCGGAAAUGGUGGGAUAAAUCCCACACUCUCAAAGUAUGCGGCCAAAUUCUGCUCCAUCUUGUUCAGCUUGUGCUCUAUUUUCUCUAACUGAAUGCUCAAAGGUGGUGCGGAUGUAGAAGGAAUAGUCGGCGGGACAACAGCGUCGGCGUCAAACUCGUCAUCAGAGGUAGCACUACUUCUAGCAUAGAGCUUCUUUGGAGGUUGAGUGGGUCUUGGUUCAGUAAACUUUCUUUCUUUGGUUGAGUCAUAAAUGCAAGGCACCCUCCGAGAUUGGAUUCCGCAAGUGGCAAAACACUCAUGUCUUUUCCAUGUUUCAAUCUUUGUCUCAUGGCUUGGCGUGAAUCUGAAACUAUGUUCCAUGGAACUGCAAUCUUGGAUUUCUUUGCGACGAGUGUCUUUUUAGAUGACUUGGAAGUUGAUGCUUUCCUCUUCGGCAUUGUUACAAUAAUUUCACUCACGGAUUUCGAUUCACCCGGCUGGAAUACAGGGCAUAGGCUGAUUGCGGACGAUUGCUGCUCAGCUAGAGCUUGCUGCGCGGGUUGGGGCUGGUUGGGCACUGCUAGUUGCGUGCGGGAUGCUGCGCGCUGGGGCUGAUUCUGUUGCGCUAAUGGGCUGCUGGAUUUGCGCGCUGAGGUUAAUUGCACACGAGGGCUGGGCUGACGCUGGUUUUGCGCACUGCUGGGCAAAGGCUGGAUCUGCGCGCGCGGGUUGCUGCUCGGCUGCUCGGUGAAGGUUGGAUCUGCGGGCGCGCGGGAUGGAGCUGGUUGCGCGCACGGCUGCUGCUGCUGCAUGGGCUGGUUCGCGAUGGUGGAUUGCUGGUGCUGCGUGGCUGCUCGGUGAAAGCUGGAGAAGAAAACCAAUUCUGUGAAUUAGGGAUUUUGUGAAUAGUAAAUUUGUUUUUUUCGUUUUUUUUUUCAAAAAAAUAUAUAUAUAUAUAAAAAAGAAAGGAAAAAAAAGUUUUUUUUUUCGUUUUUUUUAAUUUUCAAAUAAAUAAAUAAAUUUUUUUUUUUUUUAAUGAUGAACCACUUUGAGACACUAAAAAUUUCAGAAGUACUUUUCAAAUAAGCACGUGGGCAUGCCUUAAAACCAUUUUACUUUAAAAAUCACAGAAGUACUUAUUAGUUAAGACGUGGGCACGCCUUAUCAAAAAUUUUCUUCUGACCAAAAUAAACAAAUCAUUUGGGUUGCCUCCCAAAAAGCGCCUUUAUUUUAUGUCUUUGGUUAGACACAUUUAUGCAUCACUCUCCAUAAUUGGGACUCUCGAGAGCCACAUCCUCCACAAUAUUCACCGAAAGAGCUUCAUAAAAAGAUUUUAAGCGAUGACCAUUAACCUUAAAAACUUUGUCAGAGGUCGGACUCCGAAUCUCAACUGCACCAUGAGGAAAAACAUUAGUAACAAUAAAAGGUCCAACCCAGCAAGAACGUAAUUUACCCGGAAAAAGUUUAAGCUUAGAAUGAAAAAGAAGAACUUUUUGACCAACAGAGAACUCUUUUCUCAAAAUCAUUCUAUCAUGAAAUGUCUUCGCUUUUUCCUUGUAAAUAACUUCCUGCACUAUAGGGUUAAUAACAUCCACAGAAAAUACCGAAUGUUCCUCACUAGAAUAUUUCAUGGCAUCAUUCAUAUUGAAUUCUAUAACCUCUCCAUCAAACUCCAUAGUGAGAGUCCCUUUAUGUACAUCCAUUUUAGUCCUAGCAGUCUUAAGAAAAUGUCUUCCUAGCAAAAUUGGGACAAAAUUGGAGGAGUUAUCCUCUUCCAUAUCAAGUACAUAAAAAUCAGCAGGAAAAACCAACUCAUUAACUUGUACUAAGACAUCUUCUAAUACCCCAUCAGGAUAUGCAUUAAAUCUAUCAGCUAGUUGAAUUAUCACGCCAGUUUCUUUUAAUGGACCAACAUUCAAAGAUGAAUAAAUGGAACGAGACAUGACAUUAAUAGAAGCUCCUAGAUCUAACAAAGCAUUUACAAGGGAUAGUAAACAUACCUGGAUCCUUGCACUUAAGAGGUAGUUUCUUUUGGAGAACUGCUGAAACAUUCUCCCCCAUGUGAACUUUUUCAUCUCCUCUUAAUUUUCUCUUGGAGGUGCACAGUUCCUUAAGGACUUUAGCAUAUCGAGGUAUUUGUUUUAUAGCAUCUAAUAAAGGAAUAUUUACCUCAACAUUGCGAAAUGUCUCAAGGAUAUCUUUCUCUUGUUCCUCCUUCUUGGAUUUUACAAACCGGCUUGGAAAAUGAGGAGGUAUCACAAUAGGUAGGGAUUUCGCUCUGGUGGGUUGCGCAUCUUGAGAUUUAGGCAUCAAUUCAUUCUUCUCAAGCUCAUCUUCUACAUGCUUUGCCACUUUUUUACUAGGCUCUUGCAACUCCUUCCCACUUCUAAGGAUGACAGCACUAAGGUUUUGCUUUGGAUUCACCUCAGAUUGUGAAGGUAACCUCCGUAAUACUUGAGACUCCAGACGGCUCACUGUAGUCGCCAAUUGACUCAUUUGGUUCUCCAAGUUCUGAAUGCUUGUUGUAGUUGCCUGCUGAAAUUGUUGAGUGUUAGUUGCAAGUGAUUUAACAAUUUCUUCAAGAGAUAUACCUGACUUGGAGUUUGACUGUGGAGGUGCUGGUUGUCUUGGUGGAUACUGUUGUGGGAAUCCUGAUUGCCUAACUCCAUAGCUGAAGUUAGGAUGAUCCUUCUAUCCCGGAUUGUAUGUUUGUGCAUAAGGAUUAUACCUCCUCUGAGGCAUGCUUGGAAAUCCUCCAACUGCAUUGGCUUGUUCAACGAGUUCUUCUUGAAAUGUAGGACACAUAUCAGUUGAAUGACCCAUAUUGGAGCAAAUGCCACAAGUCUUUACCUGUUGCACAUUACCUACAGCAAACUUUUCCACAAGAGAAGUAAGUUUAUCUAAACGUUGUUCAACAGAAGAAAUAUUUACCUCAUUCACCGUUCUUGAAGUGGCAUCUUGCUUGCUGCCAAAUUGUUGUGCAUUGGCAGCCAUAUUUGAGAUCAACUCCCUUGCUUGAGUAGGAGUCUUGUUCACCAACACACCUCCACUAGCAGCAUCUAUCAUACUCCUAUCCAUUAAUGAUAGUCCUUCGUAAAAAUAUUGAAUAAGAAGUUGAUCCGAAAUCUGAUGCUGAGGACAGCUGGCACACAAUUGUUUGAAUCGCUCCCAAUACUCAUACAAAGUCUCCCUAGGAAGUUGUCUGAUCCCACAAAUAUCUUUUCUGAUGUUGGCAGCUCUUGAAGCAGGAAAGUACUUCUCGAGGAACUGCCUCUUCAAACCAUUCCACGUUGUAAUCGAUCCAGGAGGCAAGUAGUACAACCAGUCUUUAGCUAGCCCAUCUACAGAGAACGGAAAAGCACGCAGCUUAAUAUGCUCUUCAGUCACGCCUUGUGGUCUCAUACUUGAACACACAACAUGAAACUCUUUAAGAUGUUUAUGAGGAUCUUCACCUGCAAAACCAUGAAACUUGGGUAAUAAAUGAAUAAGACCAGACUUUAGUUCAAAAUUUACCUCCAAGUCUACAUAUUGAAUGCAGAGUGGUUGCUGAUUCAAGUCUGGUUCAGCUAACUCUCUAAGAGUUCUUUCUACAGGUGCAGCUCUAUCCAUCACUUGUUCUUCCGAAUCGCUAGAUGAUUCAAUUAAAUCAGGCACCGUAUCUGUUUCAGAAAGCAAAGGCGAUGAGGAUCGUUGCUUAUCUCGCUUCGUCUGCUGUCUCAGCUGGCGAGCUGUCUUCUCAAUUUUAGGAUCAAACGAAAGUGUACAUGUACGAGAAGAACGAACCAUACACCAAGUAAAACGUAAAAAAGAUUAAAUAAAUUACACCAAUCCCCGGCAACGGCGCCAAAAUUUGGUGGUUGUCGAAGCCAACAAAAAUAAAUUCAUACUCUAAAUAAAUUGUGUAUAGCGAUUGAGCAGGGUCGUGUCCACAGAGAUCGGUAAUUAUUUAAAUCCUUUUAAAACGUAAAACAUAAAAUGGGGGUUUUGUUGACAAUAAUAAAAAUCAAAUUAAAAUAACAAGAAUGCAAAUUAAAGUUGUAAUUCAAAUUGGAGAAAGCUCUGGUUGAAGGAAUUAACUCAGCUUGAUUCGGCUACUAAUCAUUGAUUCAAAUAUAGAUUAUUAUUACUUAUGAAUAGACCGGUUAUAGCUACUAAGACCCUCUAAUAGCCAAUCUCUCCUUAACUAGUCGAUAACCAAGGUACGACCGUUGGCUAUUUCCCUAAUCAAUAGACAACCCUAGAUACGAUCAUAGGAUUUAAUCAAUUGACAGCCUGAAAGACCAGAGAGACCCAAAUCCUAAUCAACACAUACGAUGAUUCAUUUAAAUUAGAUUGUUUAUUCUCAUAACACAACUCACUGCUAUGUUAUUUGUCACAAACAUUAAAAUCUUCAUACGAUGAAUCCUUUAAUUAACAAUAGAUUAAGUUGAUAAUUAAAUAGUGGCCAAUUACCUAAUUAACAAACAUAAUCAUGGAAAUAAUUCAGAGAAUAAACAAAUACCCAAAAAGUAAUAAAACAAUUAAAGCAUAAAAUAGAUCUCACAGUAGUGACGAAUCAAAGCUUCAUUAUUCUUCAACCAGAAAAAUAGGUUUAGUUCUUCAUAGAGAGAAGAGAAAAGUUUAGAUCUAGGGUUUCUUUCUUUUCUCCAAAAGUCCCCCUUUUCACAAUAGAUUCCUCUCUUAAAUACUCUCUCUCUCUUCUCCUCUAGAAUUCUAUUUAAAAUAAAAUACUAAUAUCUGAAAUAUUAAAUUCGUAAUUACAAAAUAACCAAAAAUACAAAACACGUUAAACUAAAAAUUGUAGGUCCGUAGUUGACAGCACGCGCCCACGCCUUAUCAACAAAGUUCUUCUGACACUCAUAAUUUCUCCAAAAGAACAAUCAUCUUUAAACAUCAUCUUAUAGCUCAAUUUUAUCACAAAUCAAUAGAAUUGUACCUACAAAAGUAAAACACAAGUAAAUCAUCAUUAUUAAGUGCAAAACAUCGAUAUUAAGGGAAGUAAACAAUGCAAAACUAGUGCAUAAAUUGCACUCUAACACUUAUAUUUUUGUGCUUUGUAUUGAAAGAUUAAGCCAUGGUAUUAUUUAGGCGGUUAAUCAAGGUAGAUGGAAGCCCAUUCGGCUGACUAGAAUUGGCACUCCUCUAAGUCAUUUAUUUUUUGCGGAUGACCUGCUUCUCUUUUUGGAAGCAAUUACGGUCAAGUUGAUGUAUUGAAUGGCGUGGUAGAGAAUUUCUGUAGGAGCUCGGGCGCUAAAGUUAGUAAACAGAAGACCCAAAUUUUCUUUUCCAAAAACAUCUCGGUCACUUUAGCUAAUGGAAUUGGCAAGGCUUUAGGCUUCUCGAUUACAAAUAAUUUGGGCAGAUAUCUUGGCAUGCCUCUUCUACAUGAUCGAGUUUCGAAGAAAAUGUAUCAGAGUAUCAUUGACAAAAUUGAUCAGUGGCUAUCAGGAUGGGCAUCAAAGCAGUUGUCUCUAGCAGGGCGAGUUACUCUUGCCCAAUCGGUGCCUCAGGUAAUUCCGAUUUACGCUAUGCAGACCACGCAUCCCCCGUCUAGUGUCAGAGUUAAAAUUGAUCAACUAUGUAGAAGAUUCAUUUGGAGUGGGGCUGGUUCUCAACGUAAGUUAAGUCUGGUUAGUUGGAACAACAUUUGUAGGCCCAAGAGUAAUGGAGGGCUCGGCUUCAAGGACAUGGAAAUUAUGAAUAAAGCCUUAUUAAUGAAAGUGGCUUGGGAUUUAUUCAUAAAUCCUAGCAAGCUGUGCUCCCAGGUUUUAAUCUCUAAAUAUGCUGCGCGUUGUGAUAUGCCUAUUACUGAUGUUCCACCCAAAAAUGGUUCCUAUUUAUGGCGUUCUAUGGGUAAGAUUUGGAAAGACUUCCAGAAGGGUUUGCGUUGGAGUAUUGGAAAUGGCCAACGGGUGAAGUUUUGGGAUGAUAUUUAGGCUGUUAACAUAUAUGUUUCCACAAUGUUGAUUUUGAUGAUAACAAACAAGAUUAAGAAUGAUUAAUCUUUUAAGCUCAAAUUAUUGAAAAAUAUAUUUUGAAUAAAUCAUUAUUUUUACAUUAUAAAUGUUUUAUAUUUAAUGGAAAAAUGAUUUUAUGAAAUUGGUUGUUUUUCAAAGUUUAUGAUUUAAUUGAAAGAAUUUUGAAAACUUUGAAAUAAACAAGUAUUGCUUGAAAUUUUGGAAAAGGACUUAUUUGAAAAGUGUCAUAGCAUUUUGGUCUAUAUCAUAAUUUCAGAAAGUUUUAGGAUUGACAAAGUAUUAUUUAAAAUUCUGAAAUUGGACCUAUUUGAAACUAUUUAAAUAUUUUUGGGUCAUUCUAUAAUUUCACAAAAUUUGGGCAAAAUCAUAAUUUCAGAAAGUUUGGGAUUAACGAAGAAUUAUUUAAAAAUUCUGAAAUUGGACUUAUUUGUAAAGUUUCAUAACUUUUUGGGUCAUAUUAUAGUUUUAUAAAGUUUUGGGGUCAAACUAAAAAUAUUGGAAAAUUUUCACUGUAGCAGGUUACUGUAGCAAGCGGCUUACCGGAUUCAGAAAACCGGAAAUCCGGAUUCGGGGCAGUAAGCAUCCAGAACGAAAACGGCUUACCGGAUUCCUGAAUCUGGCAAACCGAAUUUUGCCUUAACGGUAACAUAAAUCCGGCUUACCGGAUUCCAUAAAACGGUAAACUGGAUAGCCCAGAAUGUGAGUAACGGCUAGUUUUCGAGCUCAAGCUAUAAGAACUCAAAUCCAACUCAUUUUGAAGCUCUCCAACAAGCAAGAACAAAAAGCACACAUGAUAUCUUGAGCCUUCAACUUGUAAAACACAAAUCAUUGAAUCAUUCAUUGUUCUUCAUCUUUGAAUAUCUACUCAUUGAGUGAGUUUCAUUGUAUCUUUCAUUUCUUCAAUUCAUUUGUAAGAGUUUGAGUGUGUGAGACAUUUUAGUGAAGAGAUUGGGAGAUAAUCUCUUUGUUGUAAAGGUUUAUUGACACCUCGAAGUCAAUUGUAAUUGUUGAAGCCUUGGAAAGGCUUGGAUAGUGAAAUCCUCAAGCUUGGAUCGCUUGGAGGCGUGGACGUAGGCGGGGAUUGCCGAACCACGUAAAAAUUCGUGUGUUUGUUUCUCUUCUCCCUUACUCUUUAAUUAUUGUGCUAUUAUUGAACUUAUUGUUUUCAAUUGUUGUUAAGACAUUAGAUUGCUUGUUGUGUGGAUUUGCUUGGUUAAUUUUUAAAUUUCCAAUUCACCCCCCCUCUUGGGUUGCACACUUAUAUUUCAUAGGCUACUAAUGGUGAUCCCUUAAUCAACUAUACGGUGGCUUCAAUUCCUGAUAGCAUGCGAAAUAUGUUGGUGGCGGAUUGUAUUGAUCAAAAUGGGAAUUGGUUAUGGAACAGAUUCAGCUCUUUGUUGAAUAACCAUGUUGUUUUAAGGAUUGCUUCCAUGGCUCCUCGGUCGGCAAUGAGAGGCGAUGAUAGGGUGUAUUGGGGUGCAUCAAAUACUGGCAUUUUUACAGUCCAAUCAGCUUACCAAGUGCUUACGAAUUUUUGCCCCAUUGAAGACUGUCAAGACUGGCGGCAUUUGUGGCAAUGGAAGGGGCCUCAAAGCGUAAGACUUUUUUUAUGGUUAUUAUGCCAUGAUCGAUUGAAGACGGGAUAUGAGCUUGCUAGAAGGCAUCUGGACAUUGAUCCUUUAUGUAGGAGGUGCCAUGCAGAAGUUGAGAGUUCUUUGCAUGCAAUCCGGGAUUGUGCUUAUUCGAGAGGUGUUUAGAGGAAGCUUGUUCCUGUGCUUAGACAACAUGACUUUUUUAGUUAUCCUCUUCGGCAAUGGAUCAUGACAAAUCUUAGGAGCAGGUCCUGUGAUAUGGGGAGUUUAUUUUGGUCGGUUAUGUUUGGUGUUGCUGCUUGGAGAAUUUGGUACUGGAGGAAUCAGGUGAUGUUUAACAAUAAGAACUGGAAUGGUGAUUUGAUCGUCUGGGAUAUUAAGGCAAGGGCUGAGAAUAUUUGUUCUACCCUAUCAAGCGUAGUCUAUCGAAGAAAUAGAAGGAUUCAGAAAUGGAUUCGUUGGGCUCCUCCACCAUGGCCUUUCUUGUGCUUAAAUAUGGAUGGUGCAAGGAAAGGAAAUGGAGAGGCGGGUGCAGGUGGUCUGCUGUGGGACUGCCAUGGUAAAUUUAUUCAUGGUUUCAACGCAAAUCUUGGAGUAUGUUCGGUUAUAAAGGCUGAACUUUGGGGUGUCUUGCAUGGGUUAAGAAUGCCAGAAUGGUAUGGGACCUUGGCUAUAGACGUAUCCAAGUUGGAAUAGAUAACUGUAGUGCGGUGCAGCUUAUAAAGGAGAAUAAUGCUAAUGUCAAUGAAUUUUCGAAUAUAAUCGAGAUGAUUAGGGAACUCAUGAGGAGGGAUUGGAGGAUUCAAAUUGAUUACAUCUACUGCGAAGCAAAUUCGGCGGCUGAUUUCCUUAUUACGCAUGCUUUGAGUUUGCCUGUUGGAGUGCAUUUUCUUCAUUCUAUCCUUUUAGGUUUGAGCUAUAUUUUGUAUUCGGAUAUGUAUGGGGUGGCACACCCCCGUUUUGUGCCCCUCUAGGUCUUCUAUUUUAGAGCCCUCUUUUUAUCAAAAAAAAAAAAAAAAAAAAAAGGUAGAACUGCCAAGGAAGGUUCCAUGAUGAUCUCUAGAAAUUCCCCCACAAGCAGAUAACCUAGGAUUAUUCUUACUAUUGACCUUUAUCAAAUUUGGAGGGGACGUCAUAUCACUGUAGCUAUUUUCGAAGCUUUUCCAAAGCUUGGAUCAUUAACCAACCGGGCAAAAAUUGCCAGAUCAUGAAAGUGUGCCACAGUACUCCCUAGGCAAGAUUGACAAAGAGUGAAUAUUAAAUUUUUACAGUAAGCCAUGGCAUUAUGAAAAGAGAGAUACAUCUUGAAAUCAAAUAUAUUCAUUUUUCGUUUUUAAAUUAUAGCUUAAUGUACUACAAGAAAUUUGACUUUUUAAGAUGAUAUUUUUUACAACGCUUUAAAAUUUGGUCACGAAAUGAUAUUAUUGUGAUGAAUUUAUGAAAUCAUAUCCGAUAAUUUUGUCCUGACUUGUGUUAUAUUUUGUGACCAAUAAUUUUAUUGUGGGACACAAUAUUUGGUAUCUAAUUCAACCUUUGUGUGACAAUCUUUAUUUUAGUCACAAAAGAACAUAGUAUUUUGGCGCAAAAAUUUCCCUCCAAAUUUGAAACAUUUUGGGACAAUAUUUCUUCAUUUAUGACCAAAGAAAUGGUCGCAAAAAUAUAAGUAUAGGCGACAACACUAUUUCGUAACUAAACAAUAAGUGUAAAUUUAACCAAACUAUCCAUGACGCAUAUAUUUGUGUCCAUCUUUUGGUCGUGGAUGAGUAAUUACAGUAACAAAACUAAAAGUAGUAGCCGAAAGUUUUGUCUUGAAUAAAUCUUUAUUUUUGUGACCAAGUUAUAUCAAUAUAUAGUAAAUAGAAGAAAAAAACAAAGAUCAGAGAUUGAUACAUUAACAAAACAAUCAUGGAAAUGAAGCCUGAUAAGGCUGGCACCGAUAUGAAUAUCGGACAAGAAAGCUUUCUGAAGCACCCCAAUAAUUAUGUUGGUUACAUUAGGGCAUGUGGAAGAAUAAAAAAAGGGAGACAGUUGAGCUUGAGAUGGUGAUGAUCCCUCUAGAACAAUAGCAACUACAAGAGCAGCUGCAAGAAGAUAACGCAGAGUGGCCAUUUGAAGAG
rnacentral:lncRNA from 1 species